rnacentral:lncRNA from 1 species
GUCAACAUGACGCAAGCUCAGUCUCUCCCUCUCGCAGUUCACCCUCUCUCUCGCUCUCCCUCUGUCUGACCUAGGUGGCGGCGGUGGAUCCAGUCGACGGUGGUGUUGAUUUGGCUAGCGGCGAUGGUGCUCUUGGCCAUGGCGACCGUGCCGCUGGCCAGGGUGACGGUGUCCGCGGCCAUGGCGGUGGCAACGUUGGCUGCACAUGGUGACGGCGGAGGUAGCGGUGUCAAUGUCGUCAGGUCGUUCUCAGAGGUGGACAACUAGCUGGGGAGCAAUAGUUAAGAAUUAUGCGACCCAGCUUGCUUCACAACCAUGGUCACAGCUUGCCCAGUUGUCGCCGACGUCUGGGUCUUCCAGCGGCGACAGGUGUGCGCCUUCACUCUAUUUUACUAUGAUUUAUUUCAUCUGCAAUUAGUUUGUUGUUGUUGUUGUCUGAAUUUGUGCAUUAACUUGUCUGAAUUUUGAUUGUUUGCACUGUCAAUUAGGAGAUUUCAAAUUUGUUAUUAUGCAACAAUCUAUGUUAAAUUUUGUCUUUGAAAUAGUAAGUAAUGUUGUUGGUAUUGUUGAAAAGAAAAUAUCUAGCUUUACCUGCACUACAGAAGGUUAGAAAAUGAGCAGACCUGGAAGUGAAAAUGUGAUAUGAAGUCUUUGAGGACUGUCAGGGGAGGGGACUUCACCUAAAAUAAAUUCACUGGCUACUGCGAUGAAAAUGGCAUUAAGCAUUUCCUCACUGCUCUAUACUCACCACAGUAGAAAGGUGUUGUAGAGCGUCGAAGCCAUACUGGUGUAUCAGUGGCGAGAAGCAUGUUGAAGAGCAAAGGUGUUCAAGUAUAUUUUGGGGAGAGGCUGUCAGUACAACUGUUACUUACGGAAUAGAUUUUCCAUAAUAAGGGGGUGUUCGGAGUCCCUCCGCUCCGGACUCACUCCGCGGAGCUGACGGAGCUACAGGCUAAAAUAGCGGAGUUGGAAGGUAGGUGCUCCGCAGAUCCCGUAAUUCUGCAGAGCCGGCGGAGAGCCGAACAGGCCCUAAGUGUCACAAAUAUGAAACAAUACAAAGCCUGGUACAACAAAAAGCCUAAGAUUCAUCACGUGCCGACUUUUGAGUGCAGUGCCUAUGUCAAGAUAACUAAGCCAAAUCAAUCUAACUUGGGAAAUAGAAGCAUUCGAGUAGUACUCCUUGGGUAUGCACCACUAACCAAAGCAUACAUGUUAUUUGAUCCCUCCAGUAAACAAGCCAUUACCUCUUGAGAUGUUGUAUUUGAUGAAGCUAAACAAUGGGAGUGGAAUGGUGUAAAGGAACUAAAUAUGCAGGGAGGAGGUGAUGAAUUCAUUGUGUAUUAUUCAAGUGAGCUGGUUGCAGAAGAUGGUGUGUGUCGACUAGUUCAACACCACAAACUAGAAAACCUAAAAGCAAUGCUGCCACUCCAGCAGCAACCAGAUAUGCUACACCUAUCAUGCCAACAACCCCUGUUAUAGCAAACUCUGGUGCGAGAUAGUGCUGGAGCAUAUGCAAGUGCAAGAACUCGGGGAUAUCACAAGAUACAUGACUUGCUAGGUAGUACCUCAGCUUGUGAUAUGUACCUUAAAAAUGAUGACAUGUGUAUGCUCAGUACCGAGGAGCCAACAACAUUUGUCGAAGCAUGCAAAGAAACUUGUUGGAAAAAUGGAAUGGAUUCGAGCACGCGCCACCCCACCCAGCCCCUCACCACACUCUUCACCGCCCGACAUGCUUCUAGAUCUGCUUCUGAACGUGUCGUUACAAUUAUGUUACACGAUAGGUUUCCAACAGAAGUCUUCAGCAGACAGACUGUACCUAGGCUCAACAACCAAACGAUCAUGAGCCAUGGACCAGAAUCCAGCAACGACGGAGCCGUCCUAGUUCGUCCAGCGUUACACGAGGGAACCACAGUCGGGCACUAUGCAAUGUUGUGCAAGUCAUGUUUUCUCUUUUUGGUUCAGAUGACUGACUUUAAAGUAAGGUGAUUUAGUGUCACUGACAUAUAGAGCGUUUGGUCUGCGGCCCCACACGUCAAUGACUCUAAGUUACCUGACUUAAAGUUAGCGAAUUCCAACCCUUCUUCCACCAUCACACCAUGUUGCGUCACACCACAUUUUUGAAUCCCAAGGCAACAUUCAACGUCCAAAAUAUCAGGUCCAGUUGAGCCUAGGACCAAAAUUUACCGUCAGCAAAAUACAUUUUUACAUAACUUACAACUUGAGGGCAUCUCCAAAGCUAACCCCUAAAGUAGACACAUCGAUGCGGGAGCGGACCAUCCAAUCAUGCAUCCUAAAUGUUCAUUCAUGCAUAUGCAUGUCCCGGUUGAGAAGAGAGAGGGGAUAUCCGGAUGUCCGACGUGAUGACUUUGAAGGAAAUAUGCCCUAGAGGCAAUAAUAAAGUUAUUAUUUAUAUUUCAUUAUAUCAUGAUAAAUGUUUAUUAUUCGUGCUAGAAUUGUAUUAACCGGAAACUUAGUACAUGUGUGAAUACAUAGACAAACACAGUGUCCCUAGUAUGCCUCUACUAGACUAGCUCGUUAAUCAAAGAUGGUUAAGUUUUCUAACCGUAGACAUGUGUUUUCUUUUGAUGAACAGGAUCACAUCAUUAGAGAAUGAUGUGAUGGACAAGACCCAUCCGUUAGUUAUUGCUUUCCUCAUGACUUAAUGACUUAUACAUGUUCCUAUGACUUAUACAUGUUCCUAUGAUCGUUUAGUUUAUUGCUAUUGCUUUCUUCAUGACUUAUACAUGUUCCUAUGUCUAUGAGAUUAUGCAACUCCCGAACACCGGAGGAAGACUUAGUGUGCUAUCAAACGUCACAACGUAACUGGGUGAUUAUAAAGAUGCUCUACAUGUGUCUCCGAUGGUGUUUGUUGAGUUGGCAUAGAUCGAGAUUAGGAUUUGUCACUCCGAUCGUCGGAGAGGUAUCUCUGGGCCCUCUCGGUAAUGCACAUCACUAUAAGCCUUGCAAGCAAUGUGACUAAUGAGUUAGUUACGAGAUGACGCAUUACGGAAUGAGUAAAGAGACUUGCCGGUAACGAGAUUGAACUAGGUAUGAUGAUACCGACAAUCGAAUCUCGGGCAAGUAACGUACCGAUGACAAAGGAAACAAUGUAUGUUGUUAUGCGGUUUGACCGAUAAAGAUCUUCGUAGAAUAUGUAGGAGCCAAUAUGAGCAUCUAGGUUCUGCUAUUGGUUAUUGACCGGAGAUAUGUCUCGGUCAUGUCUACAUAGUAACUUCGGUCAUCAAAUCAAAUCAAAUCAAAUGGUCGAGACGUGCCGGAGAGUUACCCACAUGCUCAUAUGUAGGAGCCAAUUCGCACGCUUAACGUUCGAUGACGAUUUAUAUUAUGAGUUAUUUGAUUUGAUGACCGAAGUUUGUUCAGAGCCCCAGAUGAGAUCACAGACAUGACGAGGAGUCUCGAAAUGGUCGAGACGUAAAGAUCGAUAUAUUGGAAGGCUAUAUUCGGACAUUGGAAAGGUUCUGAGUGGUUCGGGUAUUUUUUCGAGUACCGGAGAGUUACGGGAAUUCGUCGGGGAAGUAUUGGGCCUUCAUGUGCCUUAGUGGAAAGGAGAGAAAGGCCGCAAAGGGAGGCCGCACCCCCCCAUGGGCUGGUCCAAAUUGGACUAGGGAGGGGGCGGCGCCCCCCUCUUUCCUUCCCCCUCUCCUCUCCUUCCUUCUUCUCCUACUUGGACUAGGAAAGGGGGAAACCUACUCCUACUAGUAGUAGGAAUCCCCCCUUGGGCGCGCCCCUUGUGGCCGGCCCUCCUCCUCCUCCCCUCCUUUAUAUACGGGGUAGGGGCACCCCAUAGACACACAAGUUGAUCUUAGCCGUGUGCGGUGCCUCCCUCCACAGAUUUCCACCUCAAUCAUAUUGUCGUAGUGCUUAGGCGAAGCCCUGCAUCGGUAACUUCAUCAUCACCAUCAAUACGCCGUCGUGCUGGCGAAAUUCUCCCUCGGCCUCAGCUGGAUUGAGGAAGUCCUGGAUUAGGGGGUCUCCGGACAGCCGGACUAUAUCCUUUGACCGGACUGUUGGACUAUGAAGAUACAAGAUUGAAGACUUCGUCCAGUGUCCGGAUGGAACUCUCCUUGGCAUGGAAGGCAAGCUAGGAAAUACAGAUAUGUAGAUCUCCUCCCUUGUAACCAACUCUAUGUAACCCUAGCCCCCUCCAGUGUCUAUAUAAACUGAAGGGUUUAGUCCGUAGGACAACAGACGAUCAUACCAUAGGCUAGCUUCUAGGGUUUAGCCUCUACGAUCUCGUGGUAGAUUAACUCUUGUAAUAAUCAUAUCAUCAAGAACAAUCAAGCAGGACGUAGGGUAUUACCUUCAUCAAGAGGGCCCGAACCUGGGUAAACAUCGUGUCCCCUGCCUCCUGUUACCAUCCACCUUAGACGCACAGUUCGGGACCCCGUACCCGAGAUCCACCGGUUUCGACACCGACAUUGGUGCGUUCAUUGAGAGUUCCACUGCAUCGUCAUCAUAAGGAGGGAUGGCUCGUCUCUUUGUCAAGGACAACAUCACCUCUGGGGGAGCCCUGGUGUAGGCCAAACUCUCCGAAUAGGCGGCUUCGUCAUGACCGCCCGCUCAGCCGCUGCGCCGACGAUGACUUCUCGGGUCAUCAAAAAUAGCCUCCACACCGGCUCGAAAUUCGCCGAGCAGAUGGAUCCAAUGGAGCUCUCCUCUUUGAACGAGCUCUUGAAUCGCAUCAUCGCUCUAGGAGUCGCUACGGACUACGAUCGGAUCAGGCUUAAACCCGACCAAAGGGAGAUUAACUCUUCGCCGGUCACCCAUCAGAUAGCGGUGGUGGAGGAGCAAUGAAGCGAUUCUCCCUCUAUCCUGAGGACGAACUAUGUCCGGAUUCCCGAGCUCUCCGAGACGGAUACCCGCUCACGGGAGGACAUCGCCCUAGCCCUGAACCUAGAAUCAGGUCGCAUACCUAACCGGCGGGGCAACAUCCCGAAGCCCGAACUUCCAAGAUCAAAAACUCCCCUGCCCCAGGAUCUCAGAUUGGGUCAAGGUCUGGACUUAAAUCCACCCACCCACCCAGAUCUUUCCCACAUUAGGCAAGCGCCCCAAGAGACAGUACAUCACUAUUGGGCCAGAUUCCUCCUUGUAAUGAACAAGGUCAAGGACUGUCGCGAGGAAGACGCAAUUUCGUUCUUUUGCAACAAUUGCACGGAAAAGGAAAUCCUCAACACCAUAAGUCGCCGUGACAUAGCACACUUUGCUGACUUGGCGGCCAUAGUACGGAAAUACUGUGCGAUGGAAAGCGCCUGGAAAACCCAAACACAAUUUUGGGAUAAUCCGACUCUGACAAAACCCCCAGUCUGAACUAAAAGGGUGCACUCUCAUAAGUCGCCCGACUCAAUUACAAAGAAGCAAAAGCCCACUACAGGGCGUGGAACCGUAUUGGAGCGAUGGCUUAACGGGCCCUGCAAAAUUCAUAGUACAACAGAUACCAUAUCAACACAUAGCCUUAGAGCAUGUUGGGUACUCCGGCAGGUGGCCAAGAGAGGUGAGGAUAUCCUCAUCCAAAAUACCUCAGAACACCUUCCUGUGGAUAACAAUACGGUAUUGACGGUCUUCGAAACCUUCGCCUCAAAUAAUAGGCGUAAGCAAACACUCUGCAGCCUUGCCGAAGUCUGCCACGUGGCAGCAAUAAAUCCAUGGAGCGACACGGCUAUCACCUCCAAUGCCAGUGACGAACCUAAAUUCCGAACAGCCCGAGCACCAUCCGCUUUGGUCCUCAGUCCAAUUGUGGACGACUUUCGGCUCACUAAAGUGCUCAUGGACGACGGCAACGGAUUAAACCUCAUUUAUGAGGAGACUCUUCAAAAAAUGGAAAUAGACAGCAACCGUAUUGAGCAAAGCAGCAUGACCUUCCUAGGAAUCAUCCCAAGUCGGGAGGCACGUUGCGCUGGGAAAAUCACACUAGAUGUGGUAUUCGUCACUCCGGAGAAUUACAGGUCCGAAGAAAUCACAUUUCAAGUGGCCUCGUUCAGCAACGGAUACCACGUCCUUCUAGGGCGGGAGGCAUUCACGAUUUUUCAAGCCAUACCCCAUUACGGGUACAUGAAGCUCAAAAUGCCCGGACCCAAUGGAAUCAUCACUCUAGCUAGUGAUCCGGACAUACACUACAAAAAAAAGACACAUCCGUGACAUUUUGUGCCGAACGAAAUUUUUUUCUAUCAUAUAUAUGACACUUCUAUGACGAUAAUUGUGACAAAACCCGGUAUCAUCAUAGAUGUGGUGGGCUCCUACUUCUAUGACAAAAAAUCAUGACAGAAAAUGCGCUUUUCGUCCUAGGCGGGCCGGAGACGCAGCUACAUGACAUUUUUUGGGUCGUCCAUGAUGGAAAAAACCAUGGUAGAAGCGAGGGGGAGGAAAAUUUCGGGGAGUUCCCGGUUACGGUGGGAGGUCGGGGGCCGAGCGAUGCGCGUUUCUCUCGUACACGUACGCAUGUGUGUGCGAGGCGUUGGCUCUAACUGAACCCGAGCGAGGCGUUGGGCUCUAAUUAACUGAACCCGAGCGAUUGCACUACAGGCUACGCAUUACUGAACCCGAGCGAUCGAUCGAUGGAUGUUAACUGAACUCGAUCGAGUGAUUUCUUCGCUACUGCUGCUAGAUAAAGCCGAUCGAUGCUGCCUCUGGGAUGAACAGUGAGCGUUGCCGAGGGGGUUGGAUGAACAUUGAGCGGUGGCGUUGCCUCUGGAUGAACAGGACCCCAUGGUGUGGUGGAGGGCUGGAUGAACAGCAGACGGUGAAGGGGUGCCCGUGGAGGGUGGUUGAACAGGACCCCGUGGUGUGGAGGGAUGGAUGAACAGUAGACGGUGGAGGGGUGGUUGAACAGUAGCCGGUGGAGUAGCGCGCGGUGGAGGCUGAAUGAACAGGAGCCCGUGGAGGCUGGAGGAGGUCACGGUGGAGAUGAACAGUAUCCCGUGGAGUCCCGUUUUGCGGUACGCCGCACCCCUCCCGAUGAACAGGACCCCCGUUUUGACCGUAGGAGGUCCGUUUCGUCUGUUUUGCGGUACGCCACAACCCUCCCGAUCAACAAAACCCCCGUUUCGACCGUAGGAGGUCCGUUUCCUCCGUUUCGCGGUACGCCAGACCUCUCCCGAUCAACAGGACCCCGUUCCGAACAUAGGAGGUCCGUUUCCUCCGUUGUGCGGUACGCCAGGCCUCGUUUCCAUUGCCUAUUUCGUCCAAGCCCUCCCGAUGAACACGACCACACAUUUCGUUCCGCCCCAGCCGGUUGGCUCCCACGCGUUCCGUUGCCUCCCGGUGAACACGAGCAUUCCGUUGCCUCCCCAUGAACACGACGCAUUCCGUUGCCUCCCCAUGAACAUGACGACAACGCUGUUUCUCCGUUCCGACCCAGCCAUGUACACGAGCCCUGGCCGUACGUAUGCGCGAGUAGGCGUUCGAGACCCCGCCCGUAUGUACACAUACGUGGCCGUAUUUUCUCUCUUGCACCCUGGCCGUUGUACGUACGUGUACAUGCUACGUGCGCGCCUCUACUACGACACGUGCGUGCCUCUACAUCCACCAGUAUAUAUGUACGUACACGUUCGCGACCAGAAUGACAAUGCUACGUAUGCUUUGACCAGUUGGGUCCCGACUGUCAGGCACUUCCUUGCCUGCGAAGAUGUAGCUGGUGGGUCCCAGCAGUCAGGGGGGCGAGUCAUUUUUUUUGCCCAGACGCACUUCCUUGCGUGCGAAGAUGUGGCUCGUGGGUCCCAGCAGUCAGGGGGAAACAUUUUUUUUUUCGCGAAAUACAGUGGCCCGUCCGGUGGGUCCCAGCUGCCAGGUGGAGGAAUCAUUAUUUUCCGCGUAAUGAGGAGGCACUUCCUUGCUGCGGUCGUGGACCCAUCUGUCAGCCUCUCCACGUACAGUCCACGUCCAAUGGAAGUCGUUCCUUGACCACGUUGACCACGUCACGCCGAGAGCAGUAGGGCGAUGGACGACGGCGAGGACUAGGAAGGGGACGACGGGGAGCCGGGGAAGACGCGACAGUGGAAGCCCGCGUGGAGAGGAGUACGAGGGUUCACUGGUUCGGCUACGGUGUGAGGCUGCCGUCACCGCAGGGCCUGGCCAGCGGAGGGAAUAGUAGGGGGCGAUGAGGCCUCCGAGGCAGCAUAGCCGGCCACGGGAGGCAGGAGCAUGCGGCACGACCGGUGCUGCUUUGGGCGGCUGGAGCAAGAAGACCAGAGGUUGAAGAAGCACUACGGCCGUUGGAUGGACAUCGUACGGUCACUGGAGCUAGAAUCGUAUAUAUUGACUAAGUUGACAAAGCCCUCCGUCCCCGUCAACUUAGUAGGCCCACAAGUCAGCCUCCCACCAAGGUGGGUCCCAACUAGAAGGGGGGUAUUCAUUUUUUUGUUCGUAAUAAGGAGGCACUUCCGGUGGGUCCAAGCUGACAGCAGGGGGAACAUUUUUUUUUGUGAAAUACGGUGGCCCUCGGGUGGGUCCCAGCAGUCAGGGGCAAACGUUUUUUUUCGUGAAAUACUAGUGGGCGUCUGGUGGGUUCCUGCUGUCAGGUGGAGGAAUAAUUAUUUUCUGCGUAAUAAGGAGGCACUUCCUUGCGGCUGCCAUGGACCCAUCUGUCAGCCUCUCCACGUACAGUAUUCUUUCGGUGGAAUUCGGCCGUUGACCACAUUGACCACGCCGCGCCGAGAGCACCACGGCGAUGGACGACGGCGAGGCCUAGGAAGGGGAUGACGCGGAGUCGGGGAAGACGCGGCAGUGGAUGCCCACGCCGAGAGGAGUACGAGGGUUCACUGGUUCGGCUGCGCUGCCGUCGCCGCAGAAUAACAGGGGUGUGGGUGAGUGGAGUGGAGGGAUGGCCUGACCAGCGGUGGGAGUAGUAUGGAGGCGGUGAGGCCUCCGCGGCAGCACAGCCGGCCACGGGAGGCAGGAGCAGGCGGCACGACCGAUGCUGCUUUGGGCGGCUGGAGCAAGAAGACCAGAGGUUGAAGAAGCACUACGGCCGUUGGAUGGACAUCGUACGGUCAGUCGAGCUAGAAUCGUGCAUAUUGACUAAGUUGACAAAGCCCUUCAUCCCUGUCAACUUAGUAGGCCCACAGCUUGGAUUUGGCAGAGAACAUAUAGCCCAUUUGCGAUUUGUAAGAAUGUACAAAUCAUUUUUUAAUUCUAAUGAAAUUUACUACACCCCAUUUACAGUUUGUUAAAAGUAUAGCCCAACUUCUAGCUAGGACAACGAUUAAUAAGUUUAAACAACCGCUCAAAACAGAAUUCAAAAAAAAAUCCCACAUUUUGAUGGGAUCCGAAAUAUUUUUAUCCGAAAUUUCUAGUCAAGUCAAAUAUAAUUUCAAAAUAAAGUUGUAUUAUGUUAAAAUCCAACGAAAUAUUGCGCGCGCAACAAGUAAUGAAAUUUAAAAUUCCAAAUUCCAAAAAUAAUAUAUUUUUCAAACUAAUUACGUGUUUGGUGCAUAGUAACUGUCUAGUUAUUAUAAUUACAUCCUAUUUAUUAUUUCUUAAAGUCCAUUUUCUUGUUAAGCCUAAUGCAUACCUCCUAGGAAAGUUUGCAGCCCAGCGGGGCAGAGAAUAACAAGUUGACCCGGAUAUUGUGUACAACUGUCGGCCCAGUUGCAUUGCUGAUGUUGAAAAAAGGCCUGUGUAGUACAGUACAACCUAACAUGGUUACUCAGCCUACAUUCAGCGACGCCGGAAAGGCCCAAACAAGACUUCUGUACAACUUUUUGAAGUCACUAAGUUCAAUUAAUAACUUAAGAAAAAAGUUAGAUUACAGUGGAAUCUAAUUAAAAGUUGUCAUGAGCAAAUAAAUAAUUCAACAGGUCCCACUUGUGCGUCUGCGUGCGCGCGCGCGCGCGCGUGUGUGUGUGUGAGAGAGAGAGAGAGAGAGAUAGAGAGAGACCCAUCGGUCGAUGCUCGUAAAUACAUCUUUCAGCCAUAUGCAUUGCUGAUGCUCAGUAAAAACUUAUAUAGUUGACACAAUCAUAUAGAACAUCAUAGCACACUGAAAUUGCAUAUAAAAAUUUCACGCAGGCGACACAAUCAGGAUGGAAGCAGUGGAUCGCUAUGGGAAGGGCUAUGUUGAAACCAACGAAGUUGUACAUAACGGUUCAUCGUCUUUAUCAAUGACGGGGAAAUAUCUUGAAUGUUGUGUAAAAAAAACAGACAGACAACACCAUAAGUUCUGCUAGCACAUUAAGUUGACGUAUAACCCUUUCUAAAAAAAGUUCAGGUACAAAAUUAGAACAGGUCACAAUCAAAUGUACUGGCAUAUCAGUGUUUCACACCCAUAGCUCGGAUUUAACUAGUACUCCCUCCGUCCGGGAAAAGUUGACCACCGUGCAGUGUAUUUGUUUUUUCGCAAAAAAACCCACAGAGUUUUAAACAUGUCACAAAGAAGUCCAUCUCCUUCCUUCCUCCUCCCCCGUCGCCCGCGCCUUGCAGCCAUCACCGGCUACCCACCUGCGCCGCCGCCCGCCUAGAUCUGCGCCGCGACCAACACCAGAACCGUGGUCCAGCCCGCGACCAACAACAGCACCGCCGCCUGCUUGCACCUGUGUCGCGGCUUACCACCUGCAUCGCCCGCCGUGAAGGCGACCUGCAUCGGCGCCCUCCUCGAGCUACGCCGCCGGCCCCGUUGAAGGUCGCCGCCCAUGUUCGCCCACCUUCGCCGCCCACCUGCGCCUCCGAUUUCGUCCGCUUCGGCCACCGGCGCCGUGGACAAUUCCGGCCACUCCCGCCUCUCAUGCUGCUACUAGUGGACGACGCCGGUGUCGUGGACCUCUGAUGCUGCUUUUGCCUUUCCCCCUGCCUCGCCUCUGCUGCCACUCCCGCCUGUGCUGGUGAGUCUUCCCCGCCCGCCUCUGCUACUGCUGUUGUUCAAUUUGUUGCCGUGAGUCUGAAUUUGCUGUUCUCAGUGCAGGCGGAGAAAAUUCAGUCAGGGGAUACAAAGCUAGAGAAAUAAUCCAGGUCAAAGGUUGUACACUGCUGCUAAAUGAUGAACAUAUUAUAGUGAAAAUUUAGUUUGAUGCCAUCAAAUUCAUUGAGUAAUACUCUUGGCAUUCUUGGAGAUCUGCUAGUUUUUAGAAGUUUUUCUUGCUACAGUUAACUGAAAAUGUUCGGUGUUCCAAUACUGUAGAGAAACUACAGUGCCUGUAAUUCAGUUAUGACUCCUUUACUGAAAUUGUAGUGUUUGCUAAAACCGAGGUGUAAACUAAAAGAGUUUGUGAUUUGCAGAAGCUGUAGCAUACUCCAACAAGUGAUAAAUGCACUCAAAAGUUCACUGAGAAAAUGCAGAGGCUGCUCACUUGUUACUGAAAGUUUUCUGGAGUGAUAAAUGCACGCAAAGAAGUUCAGUUAACUGUUACUGUUGCUAUAUGAAUUCCAACCAGGUCAAUUUGUUGUCAAUUACUCUGUAAUACUCAACCAGGUUUAUGCAAAAUGAACAACAACCAUGUUUAUUUGGAUUUAUUUGAACCAUUUGAAUUUAUUUGCUUUAUUUGGAUUUAUACACCAUUUGUCCAAUUGCAAACAUACCUAAAGUUUCCAAUUGUCCAAUUUCAGUCAUUCAUUUUAAAGAGAGCUAAGCAUAGCCAUGACUCUUCCCUAAAUAUUCCUGUAGAAUCAAUUCAAGCAGCACAAAACUGAAAACUGAAAACUGCCACAACCCGAGUUGAUAAAAACAUGUCCCUAAAAUUGGAAUUAUUUGAAUUAGCUAGGUUUAUUCUUCUUCAUAUACAGAAAAAGAUGAAUAUUGUUCGUCUACUAGUUACUUCAAAUUUUAGAACUGAAUAAACACUUGUCAUCUUCAGUAAACACUUGUAAAUCUAGAGUGGUUUUAAACUUAGAAUGCACCAAGUACUAAUAUCCUUUGCCAGGCUACACACCAUCUACUUGGAGUAGACAACAAGAUUCACAGAGACAUGCACGCUUCAAUAGACUUGUGAAUGCUAGCAAAGUGAUAAGUAAAAACUUGAUGUUCUUAGAAAUAUUGCACCAGAGGACAUUAAGUGAACUGGCGUGUAUGCUAAAGGCAAGGAAAUGCCACCUUAUUUUCUUCUUCAAGCAGUUGAUGAACUAGCCUGUAUGCUGCAGCUACACAUAGGUUCUGCAGAAAAUGCACCAAAAGAGUUACACACAUGUGAAGUAAGUGGAAAGCAACAUUUAAUCUCCACUUCUUUUUUUUUGGUAGUGAAAUUCAAUCUGAAUUUUGUAAACACAGAAAAUGCACCAAUACUAAACAUUUAUUCCCACCUCCACCACCAUCUUGUCAGUUUCGACAGUGUGUGUAUGGAGUAGUUUUGACGGCAGUAUAAUUGUGCAUCAUGUAAACAUUAUGAGAAUGAUUAAGGGUUCAGCAAUCAGAUUAUAAUUAUGACCAGAACAGAGGAACAAAUACCAUGGUUAGUUUUAUGUAAAAAAAUCAGAAAUGGAGUUACUCACUUGAAGUUACUAUAGUUACUCACUUGAACUUAUUGUAGUAGUGGCCAAAAUUCAGAAAAGUUACUAAACAGCAGAAGUAGUGGCCAAAAUUCAAAGUACUAAAAAGAUUCUACACUAAAUAUACAGUGUUAUCCAUGUUCUGUAUCCAGGACAUUUUUUAUCUGUUUGCAUGCAUAGGUCCCACCUAUCAGGAAGGAUGGGCACGUACACGAACAUGUACGACUCAUCAGUCUACCCGCAUAGCCUUUUCGUUUAGUCUACCUAGCCGUCUAAUCAACUGCCUACACACCACUUCUCCCAUUUACUUCUCCAUCGGGAACCGAUUCUCCUCGGCUUCUUCACCUCUCCUUCGUCUUCAUUUGCAUCCAAACCCCACUGCGUUCACAUUGUUUUAACCUAUUUAAAUAAUCAUCUACUACUUAAGUUAGACUAGCCAUCUAAUCCUAAUUCUCCAAACCAUAGCCCUCCGUUCCAGCAGUUCCAAAUGGCGGAAGAGAUCGAGAUGCAGGUUUUUAGCGUCCAACAUGUCAUCGUCGAAGGCUCGAUGCGCAUAGUUGCCACCGUCACCGUCCACCCAAGGGUUGUUCGGCAGUGGAUCAACAAUGUAUCCAACUCCCUCGAAAAGGUAGUGACGAGGGUCAUCGGUCUCGAUGCAGAGUACACGGAGCGUGCCCUUGGGAAGAUCCAGUGCGCCGCCGUCCUUCAACUGUGCCACGAAGAUGAUGUUUUGGUGUACCACAUCAUAAAAUCGCCCUCCAUACCAUGCGAGCUUCACGAUUUCUUGUCUCGGGAGGACGUAUACUUCUGUGGGGCAGCCAAUGAAAGGGGACAAAUAGAAGCUGAAGCCGUACAACCUUGAUUUGAAAAGCAUCGCUGACCUACAAACCAGAAUCAAAAUUCAUGUAGAAGUUUGUGAUAAACAGACACCAUCCCUAUUCGACGUAGCAAAUUUUGUGCUUGGUACGAAUCUUCAGAAGGGUGAUGAGAUGGUGGAAUUAAGGUCGUCUGGAUGGGAGAAUUAUCCCUUGACGUACGAGCGGAUAAAAUAUGCUUCCCUCGAUGCCCGUGUGAGUUUCGAGAUAGCUGCAAGGUCCAAAGAGCUUGUUGUGAAGCCGCCUCCCACAGAGAAUGAGAACAAGAAGAAGAAGAAGAAAAGGCUGCACCAGCAGGAGGGCAUUAUGGAUGGAUGAACUAUUUCCUCUCUUGUAAAAAAAAUUAUUCCCUCUCGGUGUAUAUUGAUAUAGAUGGACUAUUUCGAUGGUGUGCAUGUCUUUGGAACAGAGUAGUAGCGUGGGUCCGCUUGACUAUAAGGAACUAUUUAUCCGCAUAUAUAGCUUUCUCUGCUACUCCUUCUAGUGAUUGGUAUGCAGUGCAUGUGUCCGUAGACAUGACAGCUUGUGUGCAUGACAUGUGGGCCACCUAAAAUGCGGCGAGCAUCAAGUUUCUACCACAGCCACCCGCGAUUCCCACGACGCCGCUCGAACCCAUGAAACCACACAUCCCCCGACCUGCAGCUCACCCCUCUUGGCCCCACUGCCCCUCUGCCUAAGGGAGCAUUACAUGUGGACCAGUCACCUAUCGGGUCCACGUGUUAUUGACUCAAAGGUAGGUGCAAUGGAUCCAAAGUAUUAGAAUAAUACUUGUUCACGUGCUUGAAAUAUAAACACUCUAGUUUUGAUAUACAUGUGUCAGCAGACAUGACAACUUGUCCAUGGAAGUUGAACCACGGCGACCAUCACGUUUCUUGUUUCUACCACUGCCACACCCACAUGCGAUUCCCACGACGCCGCUCCAACCCAUGGCACGACGUCCCCCGACGUGGACAUGGAUCCUCUGACGUGGCUAUCACUGCCUUGCCCUGCCUUUCCUUCGCUGACAGGUGGGACCCAUGCUUAUGGGUCCCACAUGUCAGUGACAGAAUGGUAGGAUUGUUCGCGUCAGGGGAUCCUCAUCCCCCCAACGUGCCCCUCAUCCCUCUCGGCCCCACCGCUCCUCUGCCUUUGUGUGCAUGACAUGCAGGUCAGCUGAACUGCGGCGACCAUCAACUUUCUACCACAGACACACUCAAUUGGACGCGGUUUGCCUGCUCCACUGCCGUGCUCUGAUCCGUACUCCCGCACCAUUGAAUUUUCAUCCAGCGGCUGUGACACAUUUAGUACCCGCCGGUGUGGCCAUCUACGCCUCAUAACGCCCCGACGCCCAGCUGUGGCACCCUCGCCACGACCACGCCACCACCGGCCGGUUCAUCUCGAACGAGUGAGUCGUGAACCACGCCACCACCAUGAGAAUGACAUGUGGGCCAGCUGCAUUUAAGGUCCGCAUGUCAUUGACUCAUAGGCCGGUCACUAAAGCCAUUGAAGUUCGGUCUCGUGGGCCCCGAGAGGGAAAUGUAACUCCUGUGGUAGGCCUUGUGGUGCUCCCGCAGUACGAGCCCGUGCCAAAACUGGAAUUUGUUUCUUACUACUACCAACUAGUACUAGUAAGGUACACAUGCAUUGCACGCAUGCGAUUCUGGUGGUUUGUGCAUUAUGCUUCUACAUGUGGAGCUUUCUAGAUUCUAACAUGUGGCAAAAUCUGGUGGAAUGUAAGGUUAGGAAAGUUUGAUUAACUUUGGUGAGUGUUUGGUUCAAGCCACACCUUAGGAAAGCCACACUAAGGCCCCACAUGACACACACACAAAAAAUGUGGCAAGAUUCCCUUAGGCUUGCCAACUUGUUUCUCUCGUUUUGAAGAACUAAUAACUUUGCCUAAGCUUAGUUGUGACGUGCACGUACCUACUAUUAGUUGUAUAGUGGUAGUACUAGUAAUAUAGUAUUAGGAGUACAAACUUGGUACUAGUAGGAGUAGUACUAGUACGGAAUGCUCCUACUCUAUCAACAAGCCCCGUCUGACACCAAAUUUCUUGGCUUCCGUGCUACAACUAGAUCUUCCCCUCGUUUCUGUUUUCCAACCCGGCGGCGGGCGAGGUGUCGGUUUGCUCAACAGCGGUCCCACAUGAAAGUGAAAAUGCUAGGCAACUCGCCUUCCCUAAGCUAUGUGUCAUGCCGGACGGGCCGUGUUGUACUCCCGAUUCCUGGGCGUGUGGGGGUGCGACGCGAAAGUGGCAGGCCUUUUCCUUUUACCAGCAAUGUGCCCAUGCGUUGCGACGGAUCCAAAGUAGUAGAAUAGUAGUAUUUGUUCACAAACUUGAAAGAAAUCACUAUUGUUUUGAUAUACUCCUAAUAUAUUACUCCCUCCGUACCUAAAUAUUUGUCUUUUUGAGAUUUCAAAUGGACUAUCACAUAAGGAUUAUAUAGACAUAUUCUAAUGUUUCUAGCAAGAUGCCCGCACGUUGCACGAAGUUAAUGGAAAAGGUAAGCACAACUUAUAAAUUGACGGAUGGAGUACUACUUACAGUGAUGCAUAUAAUUAAGCAAAGGGAUCACACAUGUUGGUAUUGACUGGAACGAGAAUGCAACAGGACAAUAAGAAUUAAGGCCUCGAUGAUGCGAUCACAGUGGUGGUUACAGAAGGCAAGAAGAAAGAUGGAUCCACGAACGUACGACCUCCUCCUCCUCAACUUAGUGCGUCGGGCCACCGACCGGCGGCUAAGGAGCGACGACUUUUGUGGCGAGGUCGAGGUGCUUCUCAGCAAAGGAAUCCAAGGCUUCCAGCCGGUUGAGGAAGGCCAAUGUCGUAGCGUCCUCACUGGCCUUGUAGGUACCUAUGUACACGAUUUCCUCGUACAUGUGGAUGUGUAGCUCGACGAAUUCUUGCAGGGUGAGGCGCCUCGCGGCGAGCGCGACCUUCAGGUGGACAUUCUUCGUGGCAUCGGCGGGCAGUCGCAGGGCCACCAGUGCUUGAAAGAGGUUCCGGCCAUGGACGCCUAUUAGGGUGGCAGGGAAUGAGGAGCCCGGGCGCGCGGGCUGGAGGAGUACGGCGAUGUCGUCCGCGAGCUUCUUGAGGACGGUGAACUUGUUGCUGGUGGCAACGAUCAUCUGGUCCAACUAAGAGUCGUAGUUGGCGUCGAAGGCGGCCAUCCACCAGCCGGUCUCCAACACCGUCUGGAGACGAUCCUCGGCGCCAUGCCGCAGGCCGGCGUCGUGGACCAUCUGGCGCAGCCGCUGGCCGCUCACGAGCAUCGCCGCCAUGGGUCUGGAGUGAGAUCUUUUACGCUUAGUGCAGGUGCUUAGGCAAAUGCUUAGGUGCGUACGAUGUGGUAGAUGCAUUGGAAUGGAGGGGUGCCUUUAUAUGAGGGCAAACUGCGUUGCAUUCACUUCGUGCAGCCUCUUUUCCCAGACCUCCUCCCAUUACUUCCCUCAUGCAUUAAUUUAAGGAGGAUGCAUUGGCCGUUCAACAUAUCGGGAACCGCUACUCCCUCCCUCGUCUGCAUUAAAGCCGUAUCGGGAACUGCGCCGCCCGCUGUCAAAUCGAAUACUCCCUCCGUCUAGGUGAGUAUUAAGUCAUCUUACAAAAACCAAAUAUUAGUAAACACACAGGUGUGGUGCAUUAACUCUCACGUUGUUUCUUAUUUUUUGACACUAAUAGAGGAAUCAACCAAGCAGAGAUGUGGGGCUUGUAUGCUUUUAAUGACUUGAGGUUAUCAAACAUGACAUGCAGUGGUCAGUUCGUUGCACAAUAACAAAUACAACCCAUGUCAGCACACACGCAUCUUAUAUAGCAUCACAUCCAAUGGCUAUAAAAGAUGAAUGAUACCAAAUUAUAUCUCAUCUAUAUGAGUUCUAGCAAAACUAUAUUAAUAAUACUUAGUACUCCUGUGCCAUGUAUCAUAUAUUAGUAUCAUGUAGUACUUUAUUUAUUUAUGAGGUAUCCAGAUGGCACUGCACCGCCAAGAAAAGAGGGUAACAUCAAAAUUAUGGAGUACUUUUUUGAGCAUGUUGGUAAGUGUCGGUGUCAAAACCGGCGGAUCUCGGGUAGGGGGUCCCGAACUGUGCGUCUAAGGCGGAAGGUAACAGGAGGCAGGGGACCCAAUGUUUUACCCAGGUUCGGGCCCUCUUGAUGAAGGUAAAACCCUACGUCCUACUUGAUUUAUUCUUGAUGAUAUGAGUAUUACAAGAGUUGAUAUACCACGAGAUCGGAGAGGCUAAACCCUAGAAGCUAGCCUAUAGUAUGAUUGUAUGUUGUCCUACAGACUAAAACCCUCUGGUUUAUAUAGACACCGGAGGGGGCUAGGGUUACACAAGGUCGGUUACAAAGGAGGAGAGAUACAUAUCCGUAUUGCCUAGCUUGCCUUCCACGCCAAGUAGAGUCCCAUCCGGACACGAGACGAAGUCUUCAAUCUUGCAUCUUCAUAGUCUAACAGUCCGGCCAAAGGAUAUAGUCCAGCUGUCCGGAGACCCCCUAAUCCAGGACUCCCUUAGUAGCCCCUGAACCAGGCUUCAAUGACGAUGAGUCCGGCGUGCAGUAUUGUCUUCGGCAUUGCAAGGCGGGUUCCUCCUCCGCAUACACCACGGAAGAAUUUGAAUACAAGGAUAGUGUCCGACCCUGCAAAAAUAAGUUCCACAUACCGUUGUAGAGAGAAUAAUCUGCUGACACGUUUUGGCAACAUGACAUUAUGCCAUGACCCAGUGAUUAUUCGAACCGUUUCCUUUAACUAGCCCUGCACAUAAUGCGAGGCAGUUUUUUGACACAUCUUGUCAAAGCAGAUAUCGUGUCCCCCUUAUUACGGGAUUCUCAUCAAUACGGGUGUGGGUAACCCAACCACGCCAUCGGUUACGGCGCUUGGGGGAUAAGCGAGUUUUACCAGGCUAGUUUGGCACAGAGUUUCGGCCGCCCUUAUAAAGGGACAAGGUUUAACCUUUUUCUACCCACGCCUUCUUCCUCCUUGCUCAUCGACUCUUGCACACUCAAGCUCCAAUGCCCAAGCCCACAUCCUUCCCCUCAACCUUCUCCAAUCAUGUCCAGAGCGGGAGGGAAAUGGAUGGCUUCCUCCGUUACGGAGGGACACAUCAAGAAGCUGCGCGGAGCCGGAUACUUGGCCACGAAUAUCGCGCAUUGGCUGCCCGCUGUGGGGCAGAUCAUUCCUACCCCUGAACCUCACGAGAGGGUAGUCUUCCUCCACCACUUCCUCCGCGGAUUGGGGUUUCCCCUCCAUCCAUUCGUCUGUGGUCUCAUGUUCUACUACGGGCUGGACUUCCAUGAUCUGGUCCCGAACUUCGUCCUCAACAUUUCAGCAUUCAUUGUCGUGUGUGAGGCUUUCCUCCGCAUCCGGCCCCACUUCGGCCUGUGGUUAAAGACCUUCAAUAUCCGGCCCCACUUCGUAAGUAUUCGGAUGCCAGAGUAACUCAUAGCAUACCUUUGUCACACUGCCUCUCCUAACGUCGAAUUAUGACUAUGCAGACCGCCACAAGCCAGUAUCGACGUAUCGUCGGACGGCUCCCUGGGCUCGUCGGAUAUGGAUAGCGAUCCACUUCUGACCGCCACCUCCCCUUGCUCUACGGACAACGCCGAGGUAUUGUCUCAAGAGGCACCGGGUCGAGGGGAUACAGUCCCGGAGGCGCCUCAAGGUGACCUUCCGGGCUCCGGGAGCAGAGGGAGCAAGGCUCCCGAGGGCUCCGAGUUCGGCCCUCAGCCGAACACCGCAUCGGAACCCCCAGUGGUUCCGGACUCGGGCAGGCGGCCUCCUUCCAAAAGGGGCAAGACGCCUGUGUCGGUGACCUCUGUCCAUCCAGAGGCAUCGGACAAUCUGCUGGGAGCGCUUCGCAGCGCUUCCAUUGACGAAGAGCACCACACUAUUAUGAGUGCGGUGGUCCAGAAGGUUCAGUCUGCCAAGAGCGGACUGACUGAAGCCUGUGCCAGCCUUCUAACAUGCUUUGAGGUAAGUUUUUGGAAUAUGGGGAAAAAUAUUACCACAUAGACAGUAGCCCCUGGUGCUCUGUUUGGUGUUCACAAAGAAAAGCCGAACAGAGGAUCAAACAAUAUCGCAGGAGUCUAAUAUAAGUAUGUCAAUAUGCGUAUGCAGGCUUCGCUGCUGGCCUCUGCCGCACUGACUGCGGAGGUCGCCGCACUGAAGCAGGACCUUAAAGGGUCCAAGGACGAUCUCGGCCUUGCCAAGAGGCAGCUCGAGGAGAACAAAGGUAAGUAGUACCUAGUAUAUGGAUAUGUAUAAAAAGAAUGCGAUUUGCAAAAUGACUGGAUCAUCGUAAAUUUGCCAGGGGCCACGACCGAGGUGGCGACCCUGAAGCAAGAGUUAUCCGAGGCCGAAAACAAAGCGGCCACGGAGCGCACCGAGCGGGAAAGGCAUGAGGCUCGGGUGGGCGAGGUGCAGCAAGAGCUCCACGCUCUCGUGACGAAGCACGAGGCGUUGGAGCUUGACUUGAAGACGCGAGAGUCUGAGCUUGCCGCGGCCCUCGAGAGCGCAAAGAGUGCCAAGGCUGAAGCCCAAAAGGCCCUCCAGGAGAUUGAUGCGAUGAAGAAGAUAGCGGCGGGUAAGGCAUUCUAUAUGCAAAGCAAGCAUGUGAAAGUAAAUUACCUGUUACUUACCCGAAUCCGGAGCUCUCCAGGAGCAUUCGCAGAUUUGCCCCGCAGCGUGUCGGAUGCCACACAGUUUUACCAGGCCGAGGAGGGAAGCUCAAUUGAGAAGCUAUUCUGGUCUCCAGGAGCAUUCGCAGAUUUGCCCCGCAGCGUGUCUCUGAGCGACCAACUGACGCAACUGGUCGAGCUGCACAAGGCGGCGGAACAGGCCAUGAAGGGCUUUAUAGUCCGAAUGUGGCCUGGCGACGCCCUUCCCAGCAGCUACUUCGGCAUGGUGAGGCGGCUUGUGGAUGCCUGCCCACGGCUGGAAGUCAUCAAGCGGUCCGUCUGCAUCGAAGGUGCACGUCGGGCUUUCGCCCGUGUGAAGGUGCAAUGGGCCAAGCUGGACGCCGUGAAGCUGAUUAAGGAACGGCCGCCGGAGGGCAAGGAGCAUCGCCACCCCGAGAUGUACUAUGAGGGUGUCCUAAAGGGUGCUCGUCUCGUAGCGGACGAGUGUACGAAAGAUAUAAUAUUCGAGUAAACUCGCUCGUGUAAUCCUGUAGUUAUGAAAACUUGUUCAUAUGCGCUAUGCAACGCUUGUUUGAAUUUAAAAUAUUACCUUCUGUUUGGCUGUUUAUCAAAUCUGAGAGAUGGCUAGUCAUCGGCUUCUGCGCCCACGCCACGAGUGCUGGGGUGUUCCGGAUAAACCUGAGCACUCUUGUUCCCAUUGUUGGGUCCUUCAAGGGAGGUGCUCAGCACAACGAACAAGGCAAUCAGACUAUAAUGCGUUAUCACUCUCACUUAGCCAUAUAAUUCUAUAAUUUUAAAUUUCGGCGAAGCCCCUACUAUUUGGAAGGCCGAGUUCAGGGCGCGAUACAUGCCUUAAGCUGGACAGGGCCGACUCCUCGCUCUAAGCGGCAUAAGCCUUUAGGGACUCGAAACCUCUCGAACAGCGACCGGUCUCUCGCCUUAUCAUGAUAGUCAGUUUUAGCUUUCUCUACUGAGGUGCUUAGCCUAGCAGAACCGGGGCACAAUUGCAGUAGUUCUCCCAUUGCUACCUUAGCCGAUAUAGCGGAACGUAAGGUACCAAAACAUGGGAGCCGGGCAAACCCAACUAUUGACCCAAGACAUGAUUCGGAGCUGAUGCAUAUAAUGCUAUAAGUUCGGGGUGCCGCACUGUCGAAAGUGUUCGGACUUCUCAUGUCGUAUUAUGGGGUAUGCUUAAGCCCCUAGCGUAUUGGCCGUACCAGAGUGUACGGGUGCUGGAUGUCAUAAAUGAACAUAUAUAUAAAUAUAUAUAAGAAUGCAAUAAUAGUCUUAAUGCUAUGCAUUUUUUAUUCAAAAAGGUGCGUUAAAGCAGAAUGAUACAAGUAGUGCGAUAAGCAAAAAGUAGGACUGUUUGACAUGUCCCUUCCAAGGGCAAGCUGAGGAAUAGUAUUAAAGCAAAUAUUUCACUCGUUAUCAUAAUCCACCUGGGAGUUCCGUGGUGUGACGUAGCUUUCUGCCUCCUUGGAUGCUGCAUCCUAUGUUCGGCAAUCACGCCGCCGGACAGGGUUUCCAGAGAUUGAAGUUCUGAAAGAGAAAAAUAACAAAGCAUGAAGCCCCUAGUGUGGUUUAAGCCGCGACUUGGGGCGUGCCGCCGUCGUGCCCCCCUCCCCGCCUGUGCCCAUUGUAUUUUUAAUGCGUAAUUAUGUACGCGUGGCAUGGAUUUCGCCAUUUGGCUGGGAUCGGGGUGGGGGCCGCAUUGCUAUGCGAGCUCGGAACGUGCCAGGCGGUCCUGUUGCCGAUUACUCCCUGUGCGCUUGAAGGUGUCCGGGUCCUUAAUCGCCGAACUAGUGGAUUGCCUUAAGAGGCUGCUUUAUGCUUCUACUGCGAGGGCCGCAGUGUGCUCCUCCAUGCAGAGAGAGUGCUCUGUGUUUCCAUUGACUGUGAUGACCCCCCGAGGUCCUGGCAUCUUGAGCUUGAGAUAUGCAUAAUGCGGUACCGCAUUGAAUCUUGCAAAUACGGUUCGCCCUAGCAGUGCAUGAUAGCCACUGCGGAACGGGACUAUGUCGAAGAUCAACUCUUCGCUUCGGAAGUUAUCCGGAGAUCCAAAGACCACUUCCAGUGUUACUGAGCAUGUGCAAUGGGCCUCUACACCUGGUAUGACGCCUUUAAAGGUCGUUUUGGUGGGUUUGAUCCUUGAGGGGUCUAUACCCAUUUUGUGCACUGUGUCGUGAUAAAGCAGGUUCAGGCUGCCGCCGCCGUCCAUCAGGACUCGAGUGAGGUGAAAUCCGUCAAUGAUUGGGUCGAGGACCAAUGCGGCGAAUCUGCCAUGACGGAUACUAGUGGGAUGGUCCCUGCGAUCGAAGGUGAUCGGACAGGAAGACCAUGGGUUGAACUUUGGGGCGACAGGCUCCAACGCAUAUACGUCCCUGAGCGCACGAUUCCGCUCCCUCUUGGGGAUGUGGGUUGCAUAUAUCAUGUUCACUGUCCGCACUUGUGGGGGGAACCUCUUCUGUCCUCCGGUGUUCGGCUGCCGGGGCUCCUCCUCGUCAUUGCUAUGUGACCCCUUAUCUUUGUUUUCGGCAUUUAACUUGCCGGCCUGCUUGAACACCCAACAGUCCCUGUUGGUGUGGUUGGCUGGCUUGUCGGGGGUGCCAUGUAUUUGACAUGAGCGAUCGAGUAUACGGUCCAAACUGGACGGGCCCGGAGUGCUUCUUUUGAAUGGCUUUUUCCGCUGACCGGGUUUAGAGCCUUUGAAUCCGGCAUUGACUGACGUAUCCUCGGUAUUGUCGCUGUUAAUGUGGCGCUUGUUGUGACGUGACCUACCAUUGCCGUCCUUGGUAUCCGAAGUACCAUGGUUCUUUGAUAUGUUAUUACUGCGAGCCAGCCAGCUCUCUUCUCCCGCGCAAAAGCAGGUCAUGAGUGUCGUGAGGGUUGCCAUAGUUUUCGGCUUUUCCUGGCCAAGGUGCCGGGCUAGCCACUCGUCGCGGAUGUUGUGCUUGAAAGCUGCUAGGGCCUCUGCAUCCGGACAGUCGACAAUUUGAUUUUUCUUUGUUAGGAACUGUGUCCAGAAUUGCGUGGCCGAUUCCUCUGGCUGCUGAAUUAUGUGGCUCAAGUCAUCGGCAUCUGGUGGUCGCACAUAAGUGCCCUGAAAGUUGUCAAGGAAUGCGGCUUCCAGAUCUUCCCAACAGCCAAUGGACUCUGCUGGCAGGCUGUUGAGCCAAUGCCGAGCUGGUCCUGUGAGUUUGAGUGGGAGGUAUUUGAUGGCGUGUAGGUCAUCACCGUGGUCCAUGUGGAUGUGCAGGAGGAAAUCCUCGAUCCAUACCGCAGGAUCUGUUGUGCCGUCGUAUGAUUCUAUAUUUAUGGGUUUGAAACCCUCUGGGAUUUGAUGAUCCAUUACCUCGUCUCUGAAGCAUAAGGGGUGUGUGGCGCCUCUGUACUGGGCUAUAUCGCGACGCAGCUCGAAUGAGUCUUGCCUGCUGUGUUUGGCCCGGCCGGACUUACUUUUACUGUACCCGGCGUGACGAUUAUCGUCUCGCAUAGUGGCGCGCCCUCGUGAUCCGUAGAUCAAUCUUGCAUGUUUUGCUUUGUCCUCCAAUACGUCUCGCAGGUCUGGCGUAUUUCCCCAUGCCUUUUUAUUUGAAUGACGUCGGGGUACGGGCUGAGCUUUUGGCUGGAAUGUCUCUCUGUCGCGGCCACGAGGUGGCCGAUCAGCCGCGUCAUACGCCGGGGAUGUAGGUUUUGGUGCUUCCUCCUCCAGACGGGGUAGCAACCUGCAUUUUGGGUAACUCUUGGAGGGGCGUUCGAGUUUAUACUCUUCGGGCGCCAGGACUUCAGUCCAUCUGUCAGCUAGUAGAUCUUGAUCAGCUUGAAGCUGCUGCUGCUUUUUCUUAAGGCUAUUUGUCAUGGCUAUAAGCUUACGCUUGAAGCGCUCUUGUUCGACGGGAUCCUCUGGCACGGCGAAUUCGUCAUCGCCGAGGCUUGCCUCGUCUUCGGGGGGGGGGCAUGUAAUUAUCAUCCUCCGCCUCUCCAUCUGCCGCUCUCUCAGGAGGGCUGGCUCCUCCAUCCUCCUGCUCUAAAUCUUCCUAGAGGGGAUUGUUGUUGUCUUCGACACUGUCCGGAAUGCUAUUAUCUCCGGUGCCGGUAUCACCACUUUUGCCUUGGCGGGACUUAGAGUGACGCCGCUGACGCCGGCGCUUGGGUUGCUUCUUGGAGGGGUCAUCCUCCGUUGUCUCAUCGCCAUUGCCUUCUUUGGGUGUGUCCACCAUGUAUAUAUCGUAUGAUGAGGUGGCUGUCCAGUGCCCUGUGGGCAGUGGUUCCUCUUUGACUCCCGCAUCGUCGUCCAUACCGUCGAUGUCUUCGGAGUCGAAGUCGAGCAUGUCGGUUAAGUCAUCGACAGUGGCUACUAAGUGGGUGGUGGGUGGGCGGCGAAUUUCUUCGUCAUCCGCAUCCCAAUCCUGCCAGAGGUAGUUUGGCUAGGAUCCCUCUGACAAGGAAAGAGACCUUAAUGAGUUCAGUAUGUCGCCGAAGGGCGAGUGCUGAAAAAUAUUCGUGAAGGUAAACUCCAUGAUCGCGCCCAAUCGGAUUCGAUAGGAACAGGCGCAGGCGGUUCGGAGUCCGUGGCCGGAGAAGGAUUCGGCAGUUUGGCAACACGACUCUUGUGAAGGGUAAGGUUGAUAUUCGGCUCGAUCGCCGCAGAGGGUACGGCCUCCGUGACGGGGUCUAUCCACCCAUCCACAGAUGGCGAAACUGGCUCCGUAUUGAGGGUCGGAGCGGCUGCCGGUGCGAUCUCCUGAAUACGGUCCGAUGGUAGAGCUAAAUCAUACUCACCGUGACCGCGUGGCACACAAGGCAGGGUCUCGAAUCCGUCGAAGAUCAAGUCUCCGCGGAUAUCGGCCGUGUAGUUUAAGCUUUCAAACCUGACCUGGUGGCCAGGGGCGUAACUUUCGAUCUUCUCUAGAUGGCCAAGCGAGUUGGCCCAUAGUGCGAAGCCACCGAACACAAAGAUCUAUCUGGGGAGAAAAGUCUCACCCUGGACUGCAUCACUAUCGAUGAUCGUAGGAGCCAUCAAGCCUAACGGCGACGACACAGAGGAACUCUCAAUGAAAGCACCAAUGUCAGUGUCAAAACCGGCGGAUCUCGGGUAGGGGGUCCCGAACUGUGCGUCUAAGGCGGAUGGUAACAGGAGGCAGGGGACACGAUGUUUUACCCAGGUUCGGACCCUCUUGAUGGAGGUAAAACACUAUGUCCUGCUUGAUUUAUUCUUGAUGAUAUGAGUAUUACAAGAGUUGAUCUACCACGAGAUCGGAGAGGCUAAACCCUAGAAGCUAGCCUAUGGUAUGAUUGUAUGUUGUCCUACGGACUAAAACCCUCCGGCUUAUAUAGACACCGGAGGGGGCUAGGGUUACACAAGGUCGGUUACAAAGGAGGAGAUAUACAUAUCCGUAUUGCCUAGCUUGCCUUCCACACCAAGUAGAGUCCCAUCCGGACACGAGACGAAGUCUUCAAUCUUGCAUCUUCAUAGUCUAACAGUCCGGCCAAAGGAUAUAGUCCGGCUAUCCGGAGACCCCCUAAUCCAGGACUCCCUCAGUAAGGUCCGGUCAUAGUCACUUGUUGAAAUCUCUAAAAAGACAAAUACUCCCUCCGUCCGGAAAUACUUGUCAUCAAAAUGGAUAAAAGGAAAUGUAUCUAGACGUAUUUUAGUUUUAGAUACACCUCUUUUUAUCCAUUUUGAUAACAAGUAUUUUUGGACGGAGGGAGUAGAAAACAGAGUUGGUGAUGAUCAUGUGCAUGCCAUCCUGCAAUAUAGGCCGUCGGAUUUAUAUCUAACGGAUAGGAAAGAAACUAUGGCAAUUUUGCAAAAAUAUACCCACACGUCUCUCCACGUUCGCAAAUAAGGCCUUCCCUCGUUCAACCUUUUCUCUCACAAGAUAAACUACUCAUACAAAUGCAUCUUGAGGUGUCCACAGAAUCGAAGAGAGGGAUGAUGUGUGUGUGUGUGUGUGCGCACGCGAUCGAUAGAGUGCCAUCGAAUUUGUGUGUGCCCACGUCAAAGAUAUAGAGUGGCUGGCCUACUGGAACGUGAGAUGGGACAUGUGCAGUUUGUCGCUGUGGCAUGGAUACCUACCUGCAGCGCUCGACUAUCGGUGUGUGGUGGGGGAAUAGGGAGGCCCAAUUAACGAUAGAGGUACAAUGGCUGGUAUAUGUGUGGAGGAGGAGAGAGGCCUACCUCAUGUAUUAAGGAGAUCGAUCUGCCUCAUGUAUUAAGGGAGAUCGAUCGGCAUCCAUGCAUAUGUGCAGGAGAGGAAUAAGGUUGGGAGAGAGACAGAGCUAGAGUGUUGGAGGGGGUGGUAGUGGAGUUGCUUCUAACAAAUGGUGGGAUAGGCUUGCUAGACAAACGGAGGGCACGCCCGCAAUAUCAAUAAGAGAGGAGAUGGCUGCUUGUUGUCUAUGCACGUGCGUGUGAGAGACGGGUCAGGAGGCAUGCACGAAUGAUGAGGGGGGACAAUGUGGCUGUGGUAAGCAGACGUAACUACAUAGGAAGAUCAAUCUCCCUUUGUUAGAGAAAGGAGAGACAUAACUUGUAAGGUACGUCGAUUGAUGGGGGGUAGUUAAAGUCGAUCUAGGUAUAUGUUGGGAGAUCGAUCGGUAUACAUGCAUGUGUGUUAGAAGCAAAUGAGGCACGAGGAGAAGGAUAGAGAGAGGGAUGCAUGUAGGAGGUCGUACGAGAGGCAUACUAUAUCGAGGGGGGAGGAGUGUGCGAGUACGAGAACGACAAAAAGAGUGGUGGGAGUGAGGCAUGGAUGGUGACAAGAGAAGAGGGGAAGCUUGUGUUUGUGCUAGGCACACCUGGCUAUAGAGGCAUAUCGAUCAAUGUGUGCCGUAAAGAAGGAGAUGGGGGGCCUACACACACCGUGGGUGAACGACCUAAAGUGAAAAGACAAAUUUGCGUGAUGGAGCUAGACAAUGCUUAGGGAGGGUGAGAGGGAUGCGGGCGUGUGCAUGCACAAGAGAAAGUUAGCGCUAGCUACAAAGAUAAGAGGGUUGUGUGGGUGUAAAAGACGAAUAGAGAUCAUAUAUACUUCAUUAUAAAAAGCGAAUUCGGAUAUUUGAAGAAUUUAUCAUAGUGUUUCAAACCGACGCAUGUGUGAAUAUAUAUAACGGUGAUACACAUGGUGUGGUUAUGAACAUGUUAUACUACAUUUAAUAUAUUUUAUCUCUGCUCUUAUAAAAAAUGGAGUUGUUGAUGAUGGUGUUCCUGCCAUCCUGCAUUAUAGGCCAUCCGAUUUAUAUCUGACGGAUAGCAAGGAAACUAUGAUGGUUGAAGUUGGCAACAAUCAUGAUUGUAGAUUCUUAUUGAAAUAGAUAAACGAAUUCAAAUUUAGUUCAAAUUGCAGCGGUAGUAUAGACAUUUGGAAUGCACUAAUAUGUUGGUAUGAGUAGGUUACAUGCAUUAUACAGCAAGCGAAAAAAUUUAAUCGGACAUAACAUGGAUUCAUACUCCCUCCUUCCAUCUAUAUAGGGUGUAAUGAGAUUUUUAAGACCGCCUUUGACUAUUGACAAGAUUAAUAGUACAUGACAUGCACAAUGUGAAAAAUAUAUCAUUGAAAAAACCUUUCACAGACGAAUUUAUCGGUGUGCUUUGUGUAAGUUGCAUGUCAUAUAUCAUUGCUCUAAUAUUUGGUCAAAGUUAGUAUCGAAAAACGCAUUAGGCCCUAUAUAGAUGGAAGGAGGGAGUAGCUUUGAAUAGCAUUUGUAUAGUAAAACGAGGCAAGACUCUCUCUUUGUGUGGUGUGAAUAGUUUUAUUUUUUCGUUUUCUUUUUGGUUGAGGGAAGUGCGAACUGAUUUGAUACGUAUACAAGUACAAUAUUACUACAUGUUAGUCGUGUCCCUAAAAUUCAACCCGCGUCUUGUUAUAUCCCGAAAAUUCAGAUAUCGUGCUCCCAAAACUAGCGCCUUCACAACCCGCACCUUGCUAUCCCGAAAUUACAAUGCACGCGAAAACUCCCUCCAACUGCCAAAUCCUGACACGUGAAAUCCCCCUUCUAACCCUGAGCCGAAAGGGUCGCUAGUUCAAAUCGGUGGGGGGUACUUUUGUAACACGCCCUACAUUUUGGACAAGCGCGUCCCUAAGUCAUGCUUCACCCCCUCCCAUCGCCCCAUUUUCGCCAUUCGAAAUCCCAAGCCGCCAUAACCUCUCCGCUCUAGCCGCGAAACCCCACCCUCCUCCGUCUGCCUCGUCACCGCUGCCCAGCCGGAGCCUCUUCCUCGACGAUGUCGUCCACCGCAACAGCACGACGUCCCUCGUCCACCUCCCCAUAUGAGGAUCUGUCGUCCAUCUCGUCGUACCGCCGGUUCAGCCUCCCCGUCCUCCACCUCCAAGGAGCUGCUCCGACGAUCGCCUCGUCUAUCGCGGCUGCUCCAUCCCCACAGCACCGCCUUAACCUGCUCCACUGGAACAGCAGCAUCCUCUCCGACUCCUCGGACGAAGCCGAGGCCUACUCGGCACCACCAAAGAGGUUGUACACUCAUCACAUCGCACCUUCUCCUUAACUCAACCUCCCGGCACCGAUGGUGCUCCAUCCCGCACCCCCAUGGAGCGGCUACCUUGAAGCCGGCGCCGCGAGCGACAUCUCCACGACGGCUCUCCCCCAGUGCGAGGCCCCUUCGACAGCGGCGUCCAUACCAGCCGAAUCUGCUGCUGCUGCUCCGGCUCUCACUCGCUCACGCUGUUGCUGCUGCUCCGGCUCUCACUCGAUCGCUCGCUCGCCCAGUUGCUGCUGCUGCUCUCCCCCUCUCUCGUGCUGCUGCUCUCCCCCUCGCUCAUGUUGCUGCUUUGCUCCGAUUAAGCCACACUUCAGUCGACUGAAUCGACUUUUGGGUCAGUCGAUUUUCAGGGGUUGGGGGGGCUCGCCGGAGUUAAGGAAGAACCACCCGCAGCGGGGAAGGGGCUCGCCGGAGAGGUACCCCACUAUCUAUCUUCGGGUUCAGGGUGGGGGGCUAGAGGGCUGGCUGGGGCAGCGGUGGUGAGUUAUUUCGGGGCGGCGAGGCGGCGCUGGGGCCGGCGGUUCGGCCGGUGGUGGCUGGCGACUCAGGGGGGUGCAGGUUGAAGAUGAACGGCAGGCCCUCCCUAAACUACAUGUCAAGUGCCUCUCUGCUACCAUUGCGUUCAGUUUCGACAGUAGCAUUCAGAUUCCACAGUAAAUUUCAGUUUCAACAGUUAAGUUCAGAGUCAACAGUUUUUACCUCAUCUGUUGUAGUCAGGUGGUUUUUGGUGAUGUUAAUUUUACAUCCAUUUUACAUCAUCUAUUGGAGAUGCUAUUAGAAUCCCACUUGAGAUUGACGAUGUCUGUCUUGUGCUGCUUCGACCUUGAUGUCUUACGGCUCAUGGAGCUUCUCCAAUAACAGAACGAUCCAUCACAACAGAGAAGUGCCCUGGACGCCGUCUACAGAUUCCUCAUAUCUUCUUCCACACCUCCGACAGCCACCUCUGCCUCAACUGCUUCAGCGACCAACCCAAUGAUGAUGAGGUCGACACGGCUACAGCAAAGAGGUUGUACACUUGUUGCAUCACUUAUUACUAUACAUUCACGUCGAUCCAUUAGGGCUAUUUUGGUUCAACGGAAAAACGUCGAUCCACUGGUUGUUACCAUCACUCUAAAUUUCUGCAUGCUCUCCUUACAUAAUCUCACCAUAUUUUUGUGUAUGCAUGUCAGAUAUUAUACAUAGUCAUGCUGAACAUGUAGAGAAAAAGAGAAGAGUUUUGCGCGGUAAUACAAUGUCAUGCAGACAUCGCUCCAUGGUGGGUUCAAUGGCAAACCCUCCCCACCCCUCUCCAGAUUGUAAUCCAGAGGAAGAUAUCUGUUCUGAGGCGGAUUCAGACGCCGCUGACCACUCCUAUUUGCCCCCCCAAGGUGUUUGCUCUACCUUGGCAUGAUGAUGCUAGUCAUAUCAUGCAUAUGAUGCCUUGCAGUGCCUACUUUUGACAUCAUAUAUGUCAUCUGCUUAGUUUAGACAUGUUCUGUAAUGCCACCUGUUUAGUUUCUAUAUCAUAUAUGGGAAUUAUGCAGUCUCAUGUCUUUUAGCCAGCCAUAAUAUAUGUGAAAUGUGCAAUGCCAUCCUGUUUAACCAGGCAUCAUAUUUUUGAAUGAUAUCUUACCCAUCCUUUUCUUCAUUACAUUUCCAUUUGUCGACAAUGUUUGUACAUUAAACUACUUUUCCUGUGAAUCGGCCAUUUGGGUGGGAGAUGGAAAAAUCUGGAGUGAAAACAAGGCCUUCAGAGCAGACAGUGCAACCUGCCGAAGCAGAUCUCUUGUUGGGUUCCGAUAGCUCCUCGGAGAUGGAUUCAGAGACAGAUGACCAGUCCUAUUCCCCCACUGAGGUGUAUGCUCUAACUUGGCACGGUUAUACUGCUCAUAUCAUGCAUACAGUGUCUUGCAUUGCAUAGUUUAGACAUCAUAUACACAAUAUUCAACACCAUGUUCUUAGUUCAGACAUCAUAUCGAAUGCCCUCUGUUUGGCAUAUAAAUCACAUAUGUGAAUUAAAUGAUGUGAUCCUGAUUACUUAGAUAACAUGUAGGUGAAUUAUGUCAUGCGAUCAUGUUUAGUUAUUCAUCAUGUCUUUGAAUUAUGCUAUGCUAUGCUAUCUAGUUUAGAUAGACAUCAUAUAUGUGAAAUUAUGUCAUGCUAUUCGUUUUAGUUAAACAAUAUACAUGUCAACUAUUUCAUGCCCUCUUUUUUCCACACUAUCUAUUGCAUCUGUCUCUCAUACAAUGUCUGUACAUUCAACUAUGUUUCAUGUUUAUUAGACAUUUGAAUUGGAGCGGGUGAUGCCAGUAUCUAGGAGACUAAAAACACGGUCUUCAAAUAAAACAGUGCUACCUCUUAGUGGAGAUAGCACCCCGGUUGUACAUGCACAAGAACCAGCCCUACCACACAUAACCCAAACUCUCGCAGAUUGUACCCCUACCGCGAUGGACACAAAACUAGCUUCACCCAAUCUAACCCCAACCCCAGUCGAUAGUAACCCAGUUCCUGUUGACACAUCACCAUCUCCACCACAGAGCUCCCAAACGAAAGAAGUUAGUAAGGCAGUUCCAGUGCCCAAAGGGUCAGUACUAUCACGGCGAACCCCAACUCCACCAGUUAGUACGCCUAUUCCUGUGGAGGAAGCCCAACUAGCUAGUCGUAGUUUAGCAUCUAUCGCAUUUGAUGUUGUUAAAUCGUAUGUGCAUAUCUUCCCAUCUUGGAAAUAUUAUACUGAAGAUGAAGGAAAAUGCCAGUUGCAGGUGUUUGUCUAGGAGUUAUGUGUAAGUAAUGUUAUUCAUGGCAAUUACUUUGCUUCGUCCCAUACAUCCUACCUCCAUGAUGGUUACAAUACAGCAAAUUUUCCCAUUUUUCUCUAUAGAGAAGGACCAAUUUGGAAACUCAGGAUGAGGUAACCUGUGCUAAUACCUCUGCUAUCUUCAAGGAUGCUUGGUGGCAGUAUCGGAAUUACCUAAAGAAAACGUACUUCACCGGCAAACAAACUCAUCAAAUUCCCUUACGUUCUCCUGAGACACAUUUACUAGACGAUGACUGGGAACGCCUUGUUCUGUACUGGUUCCGAACCAAGAAUGUGGUAAGGUCUAUGAGCUCAUUUUCUAUUUUUAAGUAUUAUAUUCUUGCGUCUUACUAUACUCUGUUCAUGUAGAACAAGUGCCUAAACAUGAAGAACAACUGUUCUAAUUUAAGGUUCCAUUGCUAUCAUAGUUCAAAAAAGUGCUAGGCGUUAAUUGUGCGUUUUGCCACCGCCUUGCGCUUUACUGACCAAAACACAUGCUUAUGCACAGUUAUGCACAGAUUAUGCGUAGUUAUGCGCAAUGCGUUUUGCCAACACCUAGAGCCUAGGCGCGCUUAAGCGCUCCCUUAGGCGCGCCUUUUUUUAACUAUGAUUGCUUUGCUCUUGUAUCAUUGUAUUUACUCAUACAAACUUAUUUUUAAAUUGAAGGAUCCAAUCGAAACUCCAAUGGCAUAGCAGGUAUGUCCAACCAUGUUUCUUUAACAGGUUUGCUCUUAUCAAUAGCUCUGUUGAUUUCAAUUUCAAUUGUGUAUACAGUUGACUUUCAUAUCAUGCACAUUACUAGCAUCACAACAGAGCCAAUAGUGUUGUUGUACAUGUAGACCCGUGGUACCCAUCUGAAAUCUUGUUGUGCCGUGUAGUUUCCCAUGCUUUGUAUUCUUUCACUGCUGCUUUGUCUUGAACUGAUAUGAUUUGAACCGUGUCUCUAUUUUGAUUUUGCAAGACAAUGCAGUGACCAUAGGACAUAGAUAUAUGUUUGUUUGAUGCUUUUAUUAUGUACUAGUACUUGGCAAUAGAAGACUUGGUAGUUUAAUCCUGUCCACCUUACUAAUGAACUGGUUCACCGAAAUGAGUUUCAUAUACUAGUACAUGCUAAACUUGUUAUGUGUCUGCUUGUUUCUUCUUUUAGAAUGCUGACAGAAUAUUGGGGAAGAGUGCCUUAUUAAGCAAUGGUAAAGGAAGUAAUGCAGAUAAGGUUCAGGAUAGUGACACAUCCUUGUUGGUCUCCAACAAAGCUGAUAAAACAGCUAAGGAGGACUAUCUUGAAGACAGCGAGACAACCCCAAAGUCCUGUCUUGGUUUAGUGUUCGAGUUACUGGCCACUACCGCUUGCACAAGCUAUUCAAACUCACUGUCUGAAUCAGUUCGGUUUCUUGAGUCUCAACUACAAGCUGAAAGACAUCGAUUAGCUGUGCUGUGACAAGAAGCAGAAGGACUGCGGAAGUCCCUAGAGCAUUUAGAUGCAUACUUUCUGGUGCAACAGCAAGCGUUGGAGGAUUUUAGCGCCAAAUAGGACAAAGCUAAUCAGCUUGCUAAGCUUAUUGCCAGGAUGGUGGAUACCCAGGAUAACGUUUGUUGAGCUCUUCUGAAGUUGUUUCAGUUAUGCUCUUGUUUUGCUGCCGCAUUUAUUUGCACUCGUGGCCAAUUUUGACGGCCGGUGUAUGUAAUGUGCUGCUUUGUUCCCUAUAUUUGCACUGGUGGCGAACUUUAAUGCCCAGUGGAUGUAAUAGCGGUAAUAGCCUAGCGUUAAUUGCUUGCUUAUUUAUUUCCUUAUUGUCUUGUUUAGUUGUUUGCUUGUAGUCACUGAGUUCUUUUUCUGUUUUUUCUAGUGGCCACAAUAGCCUAUUUUUGGUAACUAGGCCAAAAUAAUCAUGGGCCUUCUACGGGCCGUAUGAUCCACGGGCCUUCGUCCAGCGGUAGGAUCCAUCGGCCUUCUAUACGGGCCUUAGGGUCCAUGGGCCUUCUACGGGCCAUAGGGUCCAUGGGCCUUCUACGGGCCGUACGAUCCAUGGGCCUUCUACGGGCCGUACUAUCCAUGGGCCUCAUACGGGCCGUAGGAUCCAUGGGCCUUCUACGGGGCGUAUCAUCAUUUCGCCAAUCAUGGGCCAUACUAUUCAUGGACCAUAACGGGCCAUUAAUAGGUCGUAUUUGAUAACUCUAUGAAAACAGCCCAACGUUUUUUUACAUGAAAACGGCCCAACGUAUUAAUGGUCCGCAAACGGGCCGACUGUAACGACGGGCUGAAUUUGGCCCACAAGCAGAAAAUGACAGUAACGGGCCGUAUGUAACCGAAUGUUGCAAAUGAGCCCAAGAAUCAAUGGGCCCUGAGAAGGCCGAAAGAUAACUUGGGCUGGAAACGGCCCAAUGGAAUAACGGGUCGUUAAUGGGUAUAAAGUGAUACACUGUUCAUUAUGCGCCAGUUUCACCACGAGUCGUUAAUGGGCCAAGAGUUACAAAGGUCCUCAUAUGGGCCAAAAGAAGUCAUGGGCCACACAUGGGCCGGAAGUUAAAACGGGCUGAAUCAUAUUGGAUGGCCCAGAUGACGCUACUGGGCCUAAUUCGGAAAGGGCAUAACGUGCCCUGGGUUAGCGGGCUGUAAAUGGGCUAUAUGCGAACAUGCCAUUAACAGGCUUUCCGUGGGCCGGCCUACCACCUUUUGACCAAGUCAAACGGGCCGGCCUUUUCACAGGAAUGGGCCUAUGUUGGGCCAUGCCACGUGUCGCCGUAUCAUAGGCGCCUUCGGUCCAAUGAGUGGAUGACAUCUGUCCCAACGGUGAGCUGGCACGUGUUUCCUCCAGCCAAUGAUGAUUUUACACGUGGAAAAUCCCCAUUGGUCGGGGCUGUUAACGGGUUAUCGGAUCCAAAACCUGACCUGAUAGCUUAACGGCGUUCCGUUACGAUGGAUGCCACGUGUCAGUCACCCUUGACGAAAGCACUUCUGUGACGCGCGAUUUAUCGUCAUGGAAGUGGACACUUCCGUGAUGAUAAUUUUGGUAAUGUCAUGGAACACUUCUACGACAGCACAUGUAUGACUAUCUUGAUUCUGUCAUAAAUUUGUCAUGGAUGUACAUGCAUGACAAAAAACGUGACCUACUGUGACAAACAUGUAUCAUCACGGAAGUGUAUUUUUUUGUAGUGAUAGCACUCCACGCCGAGAACAAAAUAGCCGCACUGGCCCUCGAGGCAUUAUCCGAAGCCCUUGUGGCGGAGGAGCUAACCAUGCUGCGCUCCACAGUGGACAGGGACGAUGUGAUACUAGACAAAAGAUCCAAGUCCACCUCCUUUAAACCAGCGGACGAAAUAGUCAAAUUCCAAGUCCAUCCAACGGACCCCACAAAAACAGCAUCCAUUGGGGCACAGUUAAACCCCGCCGUAGACGCCGCACUACGGGAGUUCCUGCGCAAGAAUUGGGACAUAUUCGCCUGGCAUCCUUCAGACAUGCCAGGAAUCCCACGCAGGCUGGCUGAGCAUAGCCUUAACAUUCUAAAAUGAUUCAAGACGGUCAAGCAGACUCUUCGGCGUUUCUCCAAACCUAAGCGACAAGCCAUGGGAGAGGAGCUGGCCAAAUUACUAGAGGCCGGAUUCAUUAGAGAAAUAAAGCAUCCGGACUGGCUAGCAAACCUGGUGAUGGUUCCAAAGAAGGACAAAUCCUGGCGCCUAUGCGUCGACUUCAAGGACCUCAAUAAGGCUUGCCCAAAGGAUCCCUUCCCCCUCCCUCACAUCGAUCAAAUUAUCGACGCUACUGCAGGACACGACUCAUUGUGCUUCCUCGACGCAUACUCUGGUUACCACCAAAUUAAGAUGGCGGAGUCCGACCAAGCCGCAACGGAAUUUAUCACCCCAUACGGCCCCUUCUGUUUUAACACAAUGCCCUUCGGGCUCAAAAACGCCGGCGCAACGUAUCAGCGCAUGAUUCAGACAUGUCUGGAAAAGCAGAUCGGCAAAAUAGUGGAGGCAUACGUCGACGAUGUGGUCGUUAAAACCAGACACGUCGACUCCUUAAUAGACGACUCGAGGCUCACGUUCGACAAUCUCCGAACAUACGACAUUAAGCUCAAUCCAGAAAAAUGCAUUUUUGGCAUACCCGUCGGAAAGCUCCUGGGCUUUAUUGUCUCGAACAGAGGAAUUGAAGCAAAUCCGGCCAAAAUCCAGGCUCUGUCGCAGUUGGCUAUCCCAACUGACCUCAAGCAAAUCCAGAAGUUAACUGGAUGUGUGGCGGCUUUAAGCCGCUUUAUCUCCCGAUUAGGAGAAAAGUCACUCCCCCUUUAUCGCCUUCUUCGGCGCACCGAACACUUCGAGUGGACGGACACAGCCACGGCCGGAUUGGAAGAAAUAAAAGCCAUCCUGGCCACCAACCCAAUCUUGGCCGCGCCAAAUGUCGGCAAACCAAUGCUAUUAUAUAUAGCGACAACUCACCAAGUUGUAAGUGCAGUGCUUGUCGUCGAAUGAGAGACGGACGGACAUAAAUUCCCACUUCAAAAGCCGGUAUAUUAUGUAUCCACCGUCCUCACUCCAUGCAAAUCACGGUACCCACAUUAUCAAAAGAUAGCAUACGGUAUUCAUGGCAUCCCAGAAAUUACGACACUACUUUCAAGAGUGUUCAAUUACGGUGGCCUCCAAAGUACCACUCAACGACAUAAUAAACAACCGCGAUGCCACGGGUCGGAUUGCCAAAUGGGCUAUCGAGCUCAUCCCGUUCGACAUACCAUAUAAACCACAUCAAUCCAUUAAGUCGCAAGUACUGGCCGAUUUCGUAGCCGAAUGGACAGAAGUCGAACUCCCUAAAGAGUACGGCGCAUACUCCAAUUGGAUCAUGCACUUCGACGUCUCUAAAAUGCUGGCUGGUCUGGGGGCUGGUGUCGUCCUGACGUCCCCCACCAGAGAUACAGUGCAAUACGUACUCCAAAUACUAUAUACAGACUCCAAUAACGCAGACGAAUACGAGGCCCUAUUACACGGUCUCCGGAUGGCAGUUUCCAUGGGCAUUCAACGCCUGGAGGUGCGUGGGGACUCGAACCUCGCAAUAUCCCAAAUAAAUGGAGACUUCGAUGCCAAGGAUCCAAAAAUGGCGGCAUAUCGCAACGCCGUCCUCAAAAUGUCAGCUCGGUUCGAGGGGCUUGAAUUACACCAUGUGGCUCGGGAAAACAACCAGGCGGCGGACAUCCUCGCCCGUAUCGGCGCUAAACGCGACCCUGUCCCACCUAACAUCUUCCUGGAAAAACUGUUUAAGCCAUCCGUGGUAUGGGAAGGAGAUACCGGCAACAAUAGUCCGGACCCGGCCACAACAACAGAUACCGAACACUCUGACACAAUCAGAGGCUCUGCCAUCGAAGUAACACCUCCAGCCCACGUAAUAAUGGCCGUCAUCGCCCCGUGGACAGAACCAUUCCUAGCCUACCUAACCAGGCAGGAACUACCCGAGGACCAAAAUGAGGCACACUGCAUAGUGCGGCGAUCUAAAGCCUACAAGGUCCACGAGGGAGAGCUUUAUAAGACAAGCACUACCGGAGUCCUUCAAAGGUGCAUCUCCGAAGGGGAAGGGCGGAAGCUUUUGGCAGAAAUCCAUGCCGGACUCGGCGGCCAUCACACCGCAGCCCGGGCCCUAGUAAGCAAGGCCUUCCGUACAGGUUUCUAUUGGCCGACGGCCCGGGCAGAUGCGCAACAUCUGGUCCAACAUUGUGUUGGUUGCCGGCUUUUUGCAAACCAAAGCCAUAUGCCGCCUACCGCUCUCUAAACAAUCCCCAUUACUUGGCCCUUUGUGGUCUGGGGGCUUGAUAUGGUCAGACCCCUUAAAGGGGGAACUCAUAAGAAAAAAAUACUUACUGGUCAUGGUGGAUAAAUUCACCAAAUGGAUAGAAGCCAAACCUGUAAAGACAGCCGAAUCUGGACCGGUGAUAGACUUCAUAUCCGGGGUCGUACACCGUUAUGGCGUCCCCCACAGCAUCAUCACUGACAACGACACGAACUUUACAGUCGGCAAAGUGAAACUUUGGUGCAGCAACAUGGGCAUCAAGCUCGAUUAUGCUUAUGUCUAUCACCCGCAAACUAAUGGUCAAGUCGAGUGAGCGAAUGGUCUUAUCAUGAGCGGCAUUAAACCCAGAUUAGUGCGGUCCUUAAAGGAAUCAAACACGCACUGGGUAGAGGAGCUCGACUCCGUACUAUGGUGGCUGCGGACCACGCCGAAUCGCACUACCGGAUACACACCAUUUUUCAUGGUGUACGGCGCAGAGGCGGUUCUGCCUUGCGAUAUAAUUCAUGACUCACCUCGAGUGCGCAUGUACGAAGAAAAAGAGGCCGAGCUUGAUUGGCAGGACAGUUUGGACGCCCUGGAGGAGGAGCGCGACGUGGCAAAAGCCCGUUCUGCAUUCUAUCAGCAACAGGCUCGAAGUUAUCAAAGCAGAGAAGUACGGGCCAAAACCUAUAACAUUGGCGAACUAGUUCUACGCCUGCCGGAGAAGAAAAAGAACAAGCUCAAGCCCAAAUGGGAAGGUCCCUUCAUUAUUGACCAGGUUCUGACCGGCGGAGCGUACCGUCUGCGGGAUGCAUCGGAUAAUCGACUCGAGCCAAACCCAUGGAACUCAGCCAGACUCCGAAGAUUCUACGCCUAGCGCCGGACUCUAUGUUCGUCUCCUCACCUCCGUCAAUUUUUUGCAUAUCUAUCUUUUCUCUCUUUCUCUCUCUUUUUUUAUUCUCUUCAAGGCCCUAAAGGGCUAAACUUGUGUCUUGGUUACACAAUCUUGACGCGCUAGCCACGCUCAUUAUACCUGGGGGCUUCUUAUACAAAAGCUUAAUCUAAUUGUUUUUCUGGGCUUUAUGCCCCGCACGUGUGUUAUUCUUCCGCAUGUACCUUUUUUCGUCAUUAUAUGCAUCGAUAUGACUUAAGUUUUGGCCAAGCUGGGUUGCAUGGCUCUUGUAUUUAUGCCCUACGUUCUCGUUAAUUCGGCUAGGGCAUAAGGGGAGCACCUCUGCGAUUGUUAGUGUCGGGUCAACCGGAUGUGUACCUUAGACUGGGUGAAGCCAAAAGCUAGCGUUUUGAAGAGAAUAUUCGGUCGGUGAAUAAAAAAUGACUUUUAUUUAAGUUUGACACAUGCCCCCAGAUGUUUAUAGUCUGCGUCUCUUUUCGCAGUUCGAACAUGCACAUUAGGGCAUGCGUACCCAGGGAAAGGAACCCCUAACGGAACUAUUCUCCCUGGAAGAUGUUUCUUACUACCCAUGUAAUAUAACAUAGCUAGUUGGGUACUUGUCUGUUCAAGCACUUAUGACCCCUAUGCCUGGUCUCCAUGCAUACCCCGGUUUCUACAUAACCGAGCGGGUAUUCGGAUACACUCUGGACUAUCGGGUCCUGAGGUCGAAGCGAAAAGGUCCGCCAUGACAAAUGAUUUACAAUCCGGCUAGGGACAUUACAUAUGUCAUUUGAAGUACACAGUCACUGAGACUGAUUAAAUUCUUCUUCUAUACAUCCAACAGGCUGUCUAGCCUACAAUCCUGUUGGGAAUACUUUGCGGCUAAUUCUACUUGAUCAUACACUAAACUGAUGGGGAUCUCUUUCUCAUCGGGCCCCACGGGUCCGACCUCGGCCAUGUGGUUUGAGUCCGUUUUGGUAUAUCGCGUCUUCACCAUAGCCCAAGCUUCCCUUGCACCUUGUCGGCAGGUUGAUAUCUUCCAUAAUCGGAAGCGCCGCCGCGCUCCCUUAAGCUUCUCUACAAGCUCCCCCAUGCCUCCUGGUGGGGACGCGGACGGCCACAAGGCUUGGGCAAUACCCUGCAUCACCUGCCGAACUUGCUCGUGCAGUUGUGAGAGCUUUGGUAGAAGAUCACCCAAAGACCCGGGCAUCUCCUCCGCGGGACGACCCGUCAGCAUACCAGCAGACAUAACUCUUUAGCCGGCUUCUUCGCCAAACUCCUUUAAAAGUUCGUUCAAGCACUUACUAAAAAUGCCGCGCUGAAGCCGCUUAUUCUCCUUCACGGAGUCCACAAGCUGGGCUUGGACAUCUUUCAGUUCCACGCCCAGCCGGAUAUUGGCGUCUUCGAGAUUAUUUUUCUCCUGCCUGACUCGUGUAAGCACGCGCUCGCCAGCAUUUAGCUGUCGAUCAGCACGUGCCGCAUGCACCGCCACGACCUCUGGAUUCACUCUGGGGUCAUCUGCAACAUCUAUUGUUAGAUUUGCAUGCAUGUCGUAUACUACCGGGUACCUGUAUUCUUUGCAAUGGAAACAAGUAUUACCAGAGGGGCCCUUCUCGGACUCCUUCAACGCGGCAACAGCGGCCCCUAGAUGGGCCUUGCACUCUUCCAGCUCUUGAGACAGUCGGGAAUUCUUCUCUGUAAGAACCUGCACAAAUAAUGAUCCUUAAAUCAGUUGCGUCAACUGUUUCAAGUCUCAGGGGCUACUGAUAUACAUAAUCGUCAGAUUUUCCUACCCGUAUAUCCUUUACAUACUGGUCCGUGGCUCUGGCAAGACCAUUUUGAGCAGCACAGAUGUACGCAUCUCCUGAGGUGAAGGCAUCGAACGCCUCUUGGGAGAAAUAAGCGUCACGGAGUACGGCCCGGCGAUGCCUGUGAUUCUUGGCGCUCUCCACUUUGGAAUUUGUAGCAGAUAAUCUGUCCGCGCCCUCUGUAGGAGGAACAUCCAGUGUAUGUCCCGCGUUAGCUUCCGCCUCUAUGUCCUACCCUGGAGCCCGACUGGUCGAGGCGUGAUCGGCAGCCUCUCUGGAUAUAGUCCGGCGAGCAUUUUUUCUGCUAGGAAACAUGGACGUCAUUAUAUUUCAAGAAAGACGACAACCAUGGAGCGAGGUUUUGUAUCAUACCUCUGCGCCGGCGUCUCCGUCCUGACCACCUUCCUUUUUGGCCUACCCGGCUUCGGUGCCCCUUGUUGGCGAGUUGCUGCGGGUUCGUCAUGGCGUCCCGAAGGCCUUCCCUGUAAAACAACAUAUGUGUACGGUAGGUGAAGUGCAUAAAAGGGGAUCCUUUUUGGGAGUUGGGACUGUGGUUUUUUCUUACGUGCGAUGCAGGGAGUAGUCCAGGAUAGUCGGCCGUUAUGGCCACCAUGGCGUCAUCGUAGCUCAAUUGAUAGAAUUGCCUGUCUAUCAGCUCCACAAAUAUGUCUGGAUCCUCUUCGAGUCCGGGAUCGAGGGUCCGGCCAGGGUCCUCCGGUUGUAGAGGUGGGUUGUUGACCUCCCUUACAGCUUUUCGCAGUUCCUGCUGUGAAAUGACAAGGUGAGUAUCUACGACGAAGAAUGCGGGAAGGUUGGGAGUAAAGACUGACAACUCACCCAGUUUGGAGGGUUGUACAUGGAGAAUCCAUCCCAUGGCUUAAUACGGAUGAACUCCUCUUCCUCUCCCUUGAACAACUCGGACAGAAUUUUUGCUAAGGCAGCAGCGGAGUCCGGUCCCUUACGCCCGCAGCGGGUGGCGUCAUCUUCCCCAUUAAAACACCACAGGGGGUGCCCCCGAUAUUGAAGCGGCUGCACCCCCCUCAUUAUGCAUAUUGACAUAACCUCGAUUAUCGUCAAUCAUGAUUGAGCCAGCACUUUAAUUCGGUCCAUCAGGUAAAGGACUUCUCCGUUGUCUUCCACCUGGGGGCUUUGUGGGCGCCAACUUCGACGUUUCUUCAGAGGAGCAUUGUUGAACUCAGGAAGACCCCGCCGAACAGGGUCCGAAAGGGGGACGUCCUCCAUGUAAAAUCACUCCGAAGGCCAGUCUUCGGGGUAUCGGACAGGUAUCCGGUCUCGGCGAUGCGCCAUAUUUCGGCUCCGCCCACUUGAUAAAGUGACCCCUCCUGUGUAUGGGGCACAAGGCAGAAUAGCCUCUUCCAUAGCUUGAAAUGAGCCCCGCAGCCCAGAAAUAGCUCACAAAGGGCAACAUAACCGGCGAUGUGUAAUAUGGAAGUAGGGGUGAAAUUAUGCAAUCGGAGGCCGUAAAACUCCAGGAGUCCGCGGAGGAAUGGAUGGAUUGGAAAUCUAAGUCCCCUUAGUAAGUAAGGGACAAGGCAUACCCGCUCCCCCAUGGAGGGAUUGGGGAAGCUCUCCGCUUGCUCCCCGCCAUUAUAGGUGGCGAGCCCAGCUCGGACGGGGACCAUAUACGCUAGAGAGAGAAAUCCCCGGGUCUGCAGCUCUACUAAUCGGCUGUGCGGGACGGAAAACUUCUCCCAAUCACCGGGCUUAGGGCUACGGGAGCGAGAGGAGGAGCUGCGAUGGCCGGCCAUGAUGGAAUGGGUUUUUCUGAGCGCGCUCCAAUGGAUUCUCGACGUGGGAGGAUGGUGUGGAUUGGAUCCAAGAAUCCCCAUCCCUUUAAUAGACGAUUUAUUUACCUGGCUAGGGGGGCGAAUGUAAAAAUGCCCUGGCUCCUCGCAUUCUCUUGACACAUGGAAGAUAGCCCUUAUUGGGUGCAAAAGCCAAGAAGUCCAACAUUUAUGGGAGACGGACACUACUUAGCAGAUAUUCAGGAUUUGGAGAAGAAGCUGCCUUGCAAUGCCGAAGACAAAUACUGCGCGCCGGACUCAUCGUCAUUGAAGCCUGGUUCAGGGGCUACUGAGGGAGUCCUGGAUUAGGGGGUCUCCAUACAGCCGGACUAUAUCCUUUGGCCGGACUGUUGGACUAUGAACAUACAAGAUUGAAGACUUCGUCUCGUGUCCGGAUGGGACUCUCCUUGGCGUGGAAGGCAAGCUAGGAAAUACAGAUAUGUAGAUCUCCUCCCUUGUAACCGACUCUGUGUAACCCUAACCCCCUCCGAUAUCUAUAUAAACCAGAGGGUUUAGUCCAUAGGACAACAGACGAUCAUACCAUAGGCUAGCUUCUAGGGUUUAGCCUCUACGAUCUCGUGGUAGAUCAACUCUUGUAAUACUCAUAUCCUCAAGAACAAUCAAGCAGGAUGUAGGGUAUUACCUCCAUCAAGAGGGCCCGAACCUGGGUAAACAUCGUGUCCCCUGCCUCUUGUUACCAUCCACCUUAGACGCACAGUUCGGGACCCGCUACCCGAGAUCCGCCGGUUUUGACACCGACAUGGAUCUAGAGUUCAAGGGACGUCAUCGAGCUGAACGUAUGCAGAUCGUGGUGUUGGAAAUAUGCCCUAGAGGCAAUAAUAAAUUGGUUAUUAUUAUAUUUCCUUGUUCAUGAUAAUCGUUUAUUAUCCAUGCUAGAAUUGUAUUGAUAGGAAACUCAGAUACAUGUGUGGAUACAUAGACAACACCAUGUCCCUAGUAAGCCUCUAGUUGACUAGCUCGUUAAUCAAUAGAUGGUUACGGUUUCCUGACCAUGGACAUUGGAUGUCGUUGAUAACGGGAUCACAUCAUUAGGAGAAUGAUGUGAUGGACAAGACCCAAUCCUAAGCCUAGCACAAGGAUCGUGUAGUUCGUUCGCUAAAGAUUUUCUAAUGUCAAGUAUCAUUUCCUUAGACCAUGAGAUUGUGCAACUCCCGGAUACCGUAGGAAUACUUUGGGUGUGCCAAACGUCACAAUGUAACUGGGUGACUAUAAAGGUGCACUACGGGUAUCUCCGAAAGUGUCUGUUGGGUUGGCACGAAUCGAGACUGGGAUUUGUCACUCCGUGUGACGGAGAGGUAUCUCUGGGCCCACUCGGUAGGACAUCAUCAUAAUGUGCACAAUGUGAUCAAGGAGUUGAUCACGGGAUGAUGUGUUACGGAACGAGUAAAGAGACUUGCCGGUAACGAGAUUGAACAAGGUAUCGGGAUAUCGACGAUCGAAUCUCGGGCAAGUAUCGUACCGCUAGACAAAGGGAGUUGUAUACGGGAUUGAUUGAAUCCUCGACAUCGUGGUUCAUCCGAUGAGAUCAUCAUGGAGCAUGUGGGAGCCAACAUGGGUAUCCAGAUCCCGCUGUUGGUUAUUAGCCGGAGAGUCAUCUCGGUCAUGUCUACGUGUCUCCCGAACCCGUAGGGUCUACACACUUAAGGUUCGGUGACGCUAGGGUUGUAGGGAUAUGUAUAUGCAGUAACCCGAAUGUUGUUCGGAGUCUCGAAUGAGAUCCCGGACGUCACGAGGAGUUCCAGAAUGGUCCGAAGGUAAAGAAUUGUAUAUAGGAAGUGCUAUUUCGGCCAUCGGGACAAGUUUCGGGGUCACCGGUAUUGUACCGGGACCACCGGAAGGGUCCCGGGGGUCCACCGGGUGGGGCCACCUAUCCCGGAGGGCCCCAUGGGCUGAAGUGGGAAGGGAUCCAGCCCAAAGUGGGCUGGGGCGCCACUUUCCUCUAGGUCCCAUGCGCCUAGGGUGGAAAAACCCUAGGGGAAGAGUCCCAAAGGGGGAAGGCACCCCCUAGGUGCCUUGGGGAGGAGGGACUCCUCCCUUGGCCGCCGCCCCCCUAGGAGAUUGCAUCUCCUAGGGCCGGCGCCCCCUCCCUAGGCUCCCUAUAUAUAGUGGGGGAGAUGGAGGCCUUCUCACCUUUGCCUUUGGUGCCUCCCUCUCCCUCUCCAACACAUCCUUCUCCUCCAUAGAGCUUGGCGAAGCCCUGCCGGAGUACUGCAGCUCCAUCACCACCACGUCAUCGUGCUGCUGCUGGAGCCAUCUUCCUCAACCUCUCCUCCCCCCUUGCUGGAUCAAGAAGGAGGAGACAUCGCUGCUCCGUUCGUGUGUUGAACGCGGAGGUGCCGUCCGUUCGGCGCUAGGAUCUCCGGUGAUUUGGAUCACGUCGAGUACGCCUUCAUCAACCCCGUUCUCUUGAACGCUUCCGCGCGCGAUCUACAAGGGUAUGUAGAUCCACUCCUCCCUCGUUGCUAGAUGACUCCAUAGAUAGAUCUUGGUGACACGUAGGAAAAUUUUGAAUUUAUGCUACGUUCCCCAACAGUGGCAUCAUGAGCUAGGUCUAUGCUUAGUUUCUAUGCACGAGUAGAACACAAAGUAGUUGUGGGCGUUGAUUUUGUUCAAUAUGCUUACCGUUACUAGUCCAAUCUUGAUUCGGUGGCAUUGUGGGAUGAAGCGGCCCGGACCGACCUUACACGUACUCUUAUGUAAGACUGGUUCCACCGACUGACAUGCACUAGUUGCAUAAGGUGGCUAGCGGGUGUCUGUCUCUCCCACUUUAGUCGGAUCGAAUUCAAUGAAAAGGGUCCUUAUGAAGGGUAAAUAUCAAUUGGCAUAUCACGUUGUGGUUUUUGCGUAGGUAAGAAACGUUCUUGCUAGAAACCCAUAGCAGCCACGUAAAACAUGCAAACAACAAUUAGAGGACGUCUAACUUGGAUUUGCAGGGUAUGCUAUGUGAUGUGAUAUGGCCAAGAAGAAUGUGAUGAAUGAUAUGUGAUGUAUGAGAUUGAUCAUGUUCUUGUAAUAGGAAUCACGACUUGCAUGUCGAUGAGUAUGACAGCCGGCAGGAGCCAUAGGAGUUGUCUUUAUUUAUUUAUGACCUGCGUGUCAACAUAAAUGUCAUGUAAUUACUUUACUUUAUUGCUAACCGUUAGCUGUAGUAGUAGAAGUAAUAGUUGGCAAGACAACUUCAUGAAGACACGGUGGUGGAGAUCAUGAUGAUGGAGAUCAUGGUGUCAAUGCCGGUGACGAUAAUGAUCAUGGAGCCCCGAAGAUGGAGAUCAAAAGGAGCAAUAUGAUAUUGGCCAUAUCAUGUCACUAUUUGAUUGCAUGUGAUGUUUAUCAUGUUUAUACAUCUUAUUUGCUUAGAACGACGGUAGUAAAUAAGAUGAUCCCUCACUAAAAUUUCAAGAAGGUGUUCCCCCUAACUGUGCACCGUUGCGAAAGUUCGUUGUUUCGAAGCACCACGUGAUGAUCGGGUGUGAUAGAUUCUUACGAUUCGAAUACAACGGGUGUUGACGAGCCUAGCAUGUAUAGACAUGGCCUCGGAACACAUGCAAAACACUUAGGUUGACUUGACGAGCCUAGCAUGUACAGACAUGGCCUCGGAACACAAGAGACCGAAAGGUCGAGCAUGAGUCGUAUGGUAGAUACGAUCAACAUGAAGAUGUUCACCGAUGAUGACUAGUCCUUCUCACGUGAUGAUCGGACACGGCCUAGUUGACUCGGAUCAUGUAAUCACUUAGAUGACUAGAGGGAUGUCUAUCUGAGUGGGAGUUCACAAGAUGAACUUAAUUAUCCUGAACAUAGUCAAAAGGUCUUCGCAAAUUAUGUCGUAGCUCGCGCUUUAGUUCUACUGUUUAGAUAUGUUCCUAGAGAAAAUUUAGUUGAAAGUUGAUAGUAGUAAUUAUGCGGACUAGGUCCGUAAACUGAGGUUUGUCCUCAUUGCUUCAUAGAAGGCUUAUGUCCUUAAUGCACCGCUCAGUGUGCUGAACCUCGAACGUUGUCUAUGGAUGUUGCGAACAUCUGACAUGCACAUUUUGAUAACUACGUGAUAGUUCAGUUAAACGGCUUAGAGUUGAGGCACCGAAGACGUUUUGAAACAUCGCGAAACAUGUGAGAUGUUUCGAGGGCUGAAAUUGGGAUUUCGGGCUCAUGCCCACGUCAAGAGGUAUAAGACCUCCGACGAUUUUCUUAGCCUGCAAACUAAGGGAGAAAAGCUCAAUCGUUGAGCAUGUGCUCAGAUUAUCUGAGUACAACAAUCAUUUGAAUCGAGUGGGAGUUGAUCUUCCAGAUGAGAUAGUGAUGUUUCUCCGAAGUCAUUACCACCAAGCUGCUAGAGCUUCGUGAUGAACUAUAAUGUAUCGGGGACAUAUAUGAUGAUCCUUGAGAUAUUCGCGAUGUUUGACACCACAAAAGUAGAAAUCAAGAAGGAGCAUCAAUUGUUGAUGGUUGGUGAAACCACUAGUUUCAAGAAGGGCAAGGGCAAGAAGGGACACUUCAUGAAACGGCAAAUCAGCUGCUGCUCUAGUGAAGAAACCCAAGGUUGAACCCAAACCCGAGACUAAGUGCUUCUGUAAUAAGGGGAACAGUCACUGAAGCAGAACCACCCUAGAUACUUGGUAGAUGAGAAGGCUGGCAAGGUGGACAGAAGUAUAUUGGAUAUGCAUUAUAAUGUGUACUUUACUAGUACUCCUAGUAGCACCAGGGUAUUAGAUACCGGUUCGGUUGCUAAGUGUUGGUAACUCGAAACAAAAGGCUACGGAAUAAACGGAGACUAGCUAAAGGUGAGAUGACGAUAUGUGUUGGAAGUAUUUCCAAGGUUUAUCAAAUAUCGUACGCUCCCUCUACCAUCGAGAUUGGUGUUUGCGUUGAGCAUAGACAUGAUUGGAUUAUGUCUAUCGCAAUACAGUUAUUCAUUUAAAGAGAAUAAUGGUUACUCUGUUUAUUUGAAUAAUACCUUCAAUGGUCUUACACCUGAAAUGAAUGGUUUAUUGAAUCUCGAUCGUAGUGAUACACAUGUUCAUGCCAAAAGAUAGUAAUGAUAGUACCACCUACUUGUGGCACUGCCACGUAAGUCAUAUCGGUAUAAAACGCAUGAAGAAGCUCCAUGUUGAUGGAUCUUUGGGCUCACUUGUUUUGAAAUAAUUGAGACAUGCGAACCAUGUCUAUUGGUGUAUAUGCAUGAAGAAACUCCAUGCAAAUGGACCGUUUGGACUCACUUGAUUUUGAAUCACUUGAGACAUGCAAAUCAUACCACAUGGGCAAGAUGACUGAAAUCCUCGUUUUCAGUAAAAUGGAACUAGAAAGCAACUUGUUGGAAGUAAUACAUUUUGAUGUGUGCAAUCCAAUGAGUGCUGAGGCAUGUAGUGGAUAUCGUUAUGUUCUUACUUCACAGAUGAUUUGAGUAGAUGUUGAGUAUAUUUACUUGAUGAAUCACGAGUCUGAAUUAUUGAAAGGUUCAAGUAAUUUCAGGGUGAAGUUGAAAGAUCGUCGUGACAAGAGGAUAAAAUAUCUAUGAUAUGAUCAUAGAGAUGAAUAUCUGAAUUACGAGUUUGGCACAGAAUUAAGACAUUGUGGAAAUUGUUUCACAACUAAUACAGCCUGGAACACCGUAGUGUGAUGGUGUGUCCGAACAUCAUAACUGCACCCUAUUAGAUAUGAUGCGUACCAUGAUGUCUCUUAUCGAAUUACCACGAUAGUUUAUGGGUUAGGCAUUAAAGACAACCACAUUCACUUUAAAUAGGGCACCACAUAAUUCCGAUGAGAUGACACCACAUGAACUAUGGUUUAGAGAAACCUAAGCUGUCAUUUCUUAAAAGUUUGGGGCUGCGACGCUUAUGUGAAAAAGGUUUCAGGCUGAUAAGCUCGAACCCAAAGCGGAUAAAUGCAUCUUCAUAGGACACCCAAAACAGUUGGGUAUACCUCAUGUCUCAGAUUCGAAAGCAAUAAGGGAUUGUUUCUAGAAUCGGGUUCUUUCUCGAGGAAAAGUUUCUCUCGAAAGAAUUGAGUGGGAGGAUGGUGGAGACUUGAUGAGGUUAUUGAACCGUCUCUUCAACUAGUGUGUGGCAGGGCACAGGAAGUUGUUCCUGUGGCACCUACACCAAUUGAAGUGGAAGCUUAUGAUAGUGAUCAUGAAACUUCAGAUCAAGUCACUACCAAACCUCAUGGGAUGACAAGGAUGCGUACUACUUCAGAGUGGUACGUAAUCCUGUCUUGGAAGUCAUGUUGCUAGAUAACAAUGAACCUACGAGCUAUGGAGAAGCGAUGGUGGGCCUGGAUUCCAAAAUGGCUCGAGGCCAUAAAAUCCGAGAGAGGAUCCAUGUAUGAAAACAAAGUGUAGACUUUGGCAGAACGACUCGAUGGUCGUAAGGCUAUUGAGUACAGAUGGAUUUUAAAAGGAAGACGGACAAUGAUCGUAAGUAUCACCAUUAAGAAAGCUCGACUUGUCGUUAAGAUUUUUUCCGACAAGUUCAAGGAGUUGACUAUGAUGAGACUUUCUCACUCGUAGCGAUGCUAAGAGUCUGUUGGAAUUAUAUUAGCAAUUACUGCAUUAUUUGUGAAAUCUUGCAGAUAGGAUGCAAAAAACCAUUGUUUCCUCGACGAUUUUUGAGGAAAGGUUGUAUGUGAUACAACCAGAAAGUUUUUGUUAAUCCUGAAAGAUGCUAAUAAGUAUGCAAAGCUCCAGCAAUCCUUCUAAGGACUGGAGUAAGCAUCUCGGAGUUGGAAUGUAUGCUUUGAUAAGAUGAUCAAAGUUUUGGGUGUAUACAAAGUUUAUGAGAAACUUGUAUUUCCAAAGAAGUGAGUGGGAGCACUAUAGAAUUUCUGAUAAAUAUAUGUUGACAUAUUGUUGAUCAGAAAUGACGUAGAAUUUCUGGAAAGCAUAUAGGGUUAUUUGGAAAGUAUUUUUCAAUGGAAAGCCUGGAUUAAGCUACUUGAACAUUGAGCAUCAAGAUCUAUAAGGAUAGAUCAAAAUUCUUAAUGGUACUUUCAAAUGAGCACAUACCUUGACAUGAUCUUGAAGGUAAUCAAGAUGGACCAGUCAAAGAAGGAGUUCUUUCCUGAGUUGUAAGGUAUGAAGUUAAGACUUAAAGCUCGACCACGGCAGAAGAAAGAGGAAGGACGAAGGUCGUCCCCUAUGCUUUUGUCAUAGGCUCUAUACGGUAUGCCAUGCUGAGUACCGCACCUGAUGUGUGCCUUGCCACAUAUCUGGCAAGAGGGUACAAAGGUAAUCUAGGAGUAGAUCACCAGAUAGAGGUCUAAAUUAUCCUUAGAGGAAUAAGGAUAUGUUUCUCGGUUAUGGAGGUGAUAAAGAGUUCGACGUAAAGAGUUACGUCGAUGCAAGCUUAACACCUAUCCGGAUAGCUCUGAGUAGAGAUACCGGAUACGUAUAAUGGAGCAACAAUUUAGAAUAGCUCCAAGUAGAACAGUUAUUUGAAAUGGCUCCAAAUAUAGCGUAGUAGCUGCAUCUACAAGAUGACAUAGAGAUUUGCGAAGUACAUACGGAUCUGAAAGAUUCAGACCCGUUGACUAUAACAUCUCUCACAAGCAUAACAUGAUCAAACCCAGAACUCCUCGAGUGUUAAUCACAUGGUAAUGUGAACUAGAUUAUUGACUCUAGUAAACUCUUUGGGUGUUAGUCACAUGGGGAUGUGACCUUGAGUGUUAGUCACAUAGCGAUGUGAACUGGAUUAUUGACUCUAGUGCAAGUGGGAGACUGUUGGAAAUAUGCCCUAGAGGCAAUAAUAAAUUGGUUAUUAUUAUAUUUCCUUGUUCAUGAUAAUCGUUUAUUAUCCAUGCUAGAAUUGUAUUGAUAGGAAACUCAGAUACAUGUGUGGAUACAUAGACAACACCAUGUCCCUAGUAAGCCUCUAGUUGACUAGCUCGUUAAUCAAUAGAUGGUUACGGUUUCCUGACCAUGGACAUUGGAUGUCGUUGAUAAUGGGAUCACAUCAUUAGGAGAAUGAUGUGAUGGACAAGACCCAAUCCUAAGCCUAGCACAAGGAUCGUGUAGUUCGUUCGCUAAAGAUUUUCUAAUGUCAAGUAUCAUUUCCUUAGACCAUGAGAUUGUGCAACUCCCGGAUACCGUAGGAAUACUUUGGGUGUGCCAAACGUCACAACGUAACUGGGUGACUAUAAAGGUGCACUACGGGUAUCUCCGAAAGGGUCUGUUGGGUUGGCACGAAUCGAGACUGGGAUUUGUCACUCUGUGUGAUGGAGAGGUAUCUCUGGGCCCACUCAGUAGGACAUCAUCAUAAUGUGCACAAUGUGAUCAAGGAGUUGAUCACGGGAUGAUGUGUUACGGAACGAGUAAAGAGACUUGCCGGUAACGAGAUUGAACAAGGUAUCGGGAUAUCAACGAUCGAAUCUCGGGCAAGUAUCGUACCGCUAGACAAAGGGAAUUGUAUACGGGAUUGAUUGAAUCCUCGACAUCGUGGUUCAUCCGAUGAGAUCAUCGUGGAGCAUGUGGGAGACAACAUGGGUAUCCAUAUCCCGCUGUUGGUUAUUGGCCGGAGAGUCGUCUCGGUCAUGUCUACGUGUCUCCCGAACCCGUAGGGUCUACACACUUAAGGUUCAGUGACGCUAGGGUUGUAGGGAUAUGUAUAUGCAGUAAUACGAAUGUUCUUCGGAGUCCCGGAUGAGAUCCCGGACGUCACGAGGAGUUCCGGAAUGGUCCGGAGGUAAAGAAUUGUAUAUAGGAAGUGCUAUUUCGGCCAUCGGGACAAGUUUCGGGGUCACCGGUAUUGUACCGGGACCACCGGAAGGGUCCCGGGGGUCCACCGGGUGGGGCCACCUAUCCUGGAGGGCAUCAUGGGCUGAAGUGGUAAGGGAUCCAGCCCAAAGUGGGCUGGGGCACCACUUCCCUCUAGGGCCCAUGCGCCUAGGGUGGAAAAACCCUAGGGGAAGAGUCCCAAAGGGGGAAGGCACCCCCUAGGUGCCUUGGGGAGGAGGGACUCCUCCCUUGGCUGCCGCCCCCCUAGGAGAUUGCAUCUCCUAGGGCCAGCGCCCCCUCCCUAGGCUCCCUAUAUAUAGUGGGGGAGAUGGAGGCCUUCUCACCUUUGCCUUUGGUGCCUCCCUCUCUCUCUCCAACACAUCCUUCUCCUCCAUAGAGCUUGGCGAAGCCCUGCCGGAGUACUGCAGCUCCAUCACCACCACGCCGUCGUGCUGCUACUGGAGCCAUCUUCCUCAACCUCUCCUCCCCCCUUGCUGGAUCAAGAAGGAGGAGACGUCGCUGCUCCAUACGUGUGUUGAACAAGGAGGUGCCGUCCGUUCGGCGCUAGGAUCUCCGGUGAUUUGGAUCACGUCGAGUACGCCUUCAUCAACCCCGUUCUCUUGAACGCUUCCGCGCGCGAUCUACAAGGGUAUGUAGAUCCACUCCUCCCUUGUUGCUAGAUGACUCCAUAGAUAGAUCUUGGUGACACGUAGGAAAAUUUUGAAUUUAUGCUACGUUCCCCAACACGCGGAGGUGCCAUGCAUUCAGUACUUGAUCGGUUGGAUCGCGAAGACGUUCGACUACAUCAACCGCGUUACUUAACACUUCCGCUUUUGGUCUACGAGGGUACAUAGACGCACUCUCUCCUCUCGUUGCUAUGCAUCUCCUAGAUAGAUCUUGUGUGAUCGUAAGAAUUUUUUGAAAUACUGCGUUCCCCAACAGUGGCAUCCGAGCCAGGUCUAUGCGUAGAUGUUAUAUGCACGAGUAGAACACAAAGAGUUGUGGGUGAUAAUAGUCAUACUGCUUACCAGCAUGUCAUACUUUGAUUCGGCGAUAUUGUUGGAUGAAGCGGUCCAGACCGACAUUACAUGACUGUGUUCAUGAGACUGGUUCUAUCACCGUGUUUCGCACAUAGGUGGCUAGUGGGUGUCUGUUUCUCCAACUUUAGUUGAAUCGAGUGUCACUAUGCCCGACCCUUGUUGAAGGUUAAAACAGCAAACUUGACGAAAAAUCAUUGUGGUUUUGAUGCGUAGGUAAGAACGGUUCUUGCUAAAGCCCGUAGCAGCCACGUAAAACUUGCAACAACAAAAUAGAGGACGUCUAACUUAUUUUUGCAGCGCAUGUUGUGAUGUGAUAUGGUCAAGACGUGAUGAGAUAUAAAUUGUUGUAUGUGAUGAUCAUGUUUUGUAACACAGUUAUCGGCAACUGGCAGGAGCCAUAUGGUUGUCGCUUUAUUGUAUGAAAUGCAAUCGCCAUGUAAUUGCUUUACUUUAUCACUAAGCGGUAGCGAUAGUCGUGGAAGCAAUAGUUGGCGAGACGACAACGAUGCUACGAUGGAGAUCAUGGUGUCAAGCCGCUGACGAUGGUGAUCAUGAUGGUGCUUUGGAGAUGGAGAUCAAAGGCACAAGAUGAUGAUGGCCAUAUCAUAUCACUUAUAUUGAUUGCAUGUGAUGUUUAUCCUUUAUGCAUCUUAUUUUGCUUAGUACGACAGUAGCAUUAUAAUAUGAUCUCUCACAAAAUUUCAAGGUACAAGUGUAUUCCCUGAGUAUGCAUUGUUGCUACAGUUUGUCGUGCCGAGACACCACGUGAUGAUCGGGUGUGAUAAGCUCUACGUUCACAUACAACGGGUGCAAGCCAGUUUUGCACACGCAGAAUACUCGGGUUAAACUUGACGAGCCUAGCAUAUGUAGAUAUGGCCUCGGAACACUGAGACCGAAAGGGUGAGCGUGAAUCAUAUAGUAGAUAUGAUCAACAUAUUUAUGUUCACCAUUGAAAACUACUCCAUCUCACGUGAUGAUCAGACAUGGUUUAGUUGAUAUAUAUGGAUCACGUGAUCGCUUAGAUGAUUAGAGGGAUGUCUAUCUAAGUGGGAGUUCUUAAGUAAUAUGAUUAAUUGAACUUAAAUUUAUCAUGAACUUAGUCCUGAUAGUAUUUGCAUAUCUAUGUUGUAGAUCAAUUGCUCGCCUAUAGCUUCCCCGUUUUAUUUGUGAUAUGUUCCUAGAGAAAACUAAGUUGAAAGUUGAUAGUAGCAAUGAUGCGGACUAGGUCCGUGAUAUGAGGAUUAUCCUCAUUGUUGCAUAGAAGAAUUAUGUCUUUGAUGCACCGCUAGGUGACAGAACUAUUGUAGGAGCAAAUACAAACGUUAUGAAUGUUUGACAAGCUCGGCAUGAUGACUACUUGAUAGUUUAGUGCGCCAUACUUUACGGCCUAGAAACGCGACUUCAAAAAUGUUUUGAACGCCACGGAGCAUAUAAGAUGUUCUAAGAGCUAAAAUUGGUAUUUCAGACUCAUGCCCGAGUCGAGAGGUAUGAAACCUCUGACAAAUACUUUGCCUACAAGAUGGAGGAAAAUAGCUCAACCAGUGAGCAUGUGCUCAGGAUGUUUGAGUACUACGAUCGCUUGAAUCAAGUGGAAGUUAAUCUUUGAGAUAAAAUAGUGAUUGACAAAGUUCUCUGGUCACUACCACGAAGUUACUGGAACUUCGUGAUGAACUAUAAUAUGCAAGGGAUAACAAUUCCCGAGCUCUUGGCGAUGCUAAAAUCGGCGAAGGUAGAAGUCAAGAAAAGCAUCAAGUGUUGAUGGUUGACAAGACCACUAGUUUCAAGUAAAAGGGAAAGGGAAAGAAAGGGAACUUCAAGAAGAAUGACAAGCAAGUUGCCACUCCCAUGAAGAAACCCAAAGCUAGACCCAAGCCUGAAACUGAGUGCUUCUACUACAAAGAAAAUGGUCACUGGAAGCGAAACUGCCACAAAUACUUGGCGGAUAAGAAGGAUGGCAAAGUGAACAAAAGUAUAUAUGAUAUACAUGUUAUUGAUGUGUACUUUACUAGUAUUCAUAGUAGCCCCUGGGUAUUUGAUACUGGUUCAGUUGCCAUGAUUAGUAACUUGAAACAUGAUUUAUAAAAUGAACAAAGACUAGUUAAGGGCAAGGUGACGAUGUGUGUUGGAAGUGAUUCCAAGGUUGAUAAGAUCAUCAUCGCACACUCCCUUUACCUUCAGGAUUAGUGUUAAACCUAAAAUAAAUAUUAUUUGGUGUUUGCGUUGAGCAUAAUAUGAUUGGAUCAUGUUUAUUGCAAUAUGGUUAUUCAUUUAAGUCAAACAGUAAUUGUUAUUCUAUUUACAUGAAUAAAACCUUCUGUGGUCAUACACCCAAGGUGAAUGGUUUAUUGAAUCUCGAUUGUAGUGAUACACAUAUUCAUAAUAUUGAAGCCAAAAGAUGCAAGGUUAAUAAUGAUAGUGCAACUUAUUUGUGGCACUGCCGUUUCGGUCAUAUUGGUGUAAAGUGCAUGAAAAAACUCCAUGUUGGUUGACUUUUGGAAUCACUUGAUUAUGAAUCACUUGAUGCUUGCGAACCAUGCCUCAUGGGCAAGAUGACUAAGACUCCAUUCUCUGGAAAAAUGGAGUGAGCCACUGACUUACUAGAAAUAAUACAUAACGGUGUAUGCGGUUCGAUGAGUGUUGAGGCUCGCGGCGGGUAUCGUUAUUUUUUGACCUUCACAGAUGAUUUGAGCAGAUAUGAGUAUAUCUACUUAAUGAAACAUAAGUCUGAAACAUUUGAAAAGUUCAAAGAAUUUCAGAGUGAAGUGGAAAAUCAUCAUAACAAGAAAAUAAAGUUUCUACGAUCUGAUCGUGGAGGUGAAUAUUUGAGUUAUGAGUUUUGUCUUAAUUUGAAACAAUGUGAAAUAGUUUCGCAACUCAUGCCGCCUGGAACACCACAGCGUAAUGUGUGUCCGAACAUCAUAACCGUACUUUAUUAGAUAUGGUGCGAUCUAUGAUGUCUCUUACUGAUUUACCACUGUCGUUUUUGGGGUUAUGCAUUAGAGACAGUUGCAUUCACGUUAAAUAAGGCACCGUCUAAAAAUCUGUUGAGACGACACCGUAUGAACUGUGGUUUAGCCAGAAACCUAAGCUGUCGUUUCUUAAAGUUUGGGGUUGCGAUGCUUAUGUGAAAAAGUUUCAGCUUGAUUAGCUCAAACCCAAAUCGGAGAAGUGCGUCUUCAUAGGAUACCCAAAAGGAAAUGUUGGGUACACUUUCUAUCACAGAUCCGAAGGCAAGAUUUUUGUUGCUAAGAGUGGAUCCUUUCUAGAGAAGGAGUUUAUCUCGAAAGAAGUAAGUGGGAGGAAAGUAGAAACUUGAUGAGGUAAUUGUACCCUCUCUCUAAUUGGAAAGUAGCUCAUCACUGAAAUCAGUUCCACUGAUGCCUGCACCAAUUAGUGAGGAAGUUUACGAUGAUGAUCAUGAAACUUCAGAUCAAGUUACUACCGAACCUCGUAGGUCAACCAGAGUACGAUCCGCAUCAGAGUGGUAUGCUAAUCCUAUUCUGGAAGUCAUGUUGCUAGACCAUGAUGAACCUACAAACUAUGAGGAAGCGAUGAUGAGCCCAGAUUCCGACUAAUGGCUUGAGGCCAUGAAAUCUGAGAUAGAAUCCAUGUAUAAAAACAUAGUCUGGACUUUGGUGGACUUUCCCGAUGAUUGACAAGCCAUUGAGAAUAAAUGGAUCUUCAAAAGGAAGACGGACGCUGAUAGUAGUGUUACUAUCUACAAAGCUCGACUUGUCGAAAAGGUUUUUGACAAAUUCAAAAUGUUGACUACGAUGAGAUUUUCUCACUCGUAUCGAUGCUUAAAGUCUGUCCGAAUCAUGUUAGCAAUUGCUACAUUUUAUGAAAUUUGGCAAAUGGAUGUCAAAACUGCAUUCCUUAAUGGAUAUCUUAAAGAAGAGUUGUAUAUGAUGCAACCAGAAGGUUUUGUCGAUCCAAAAGAUGCUAACAAAGUGUGCAAGCUCCAGCAACCCAUUUAUGGACUGGUGCAAGCCUCUCGGAGUUGGAAUAUACGCUUUGAUAGUGUGAUCAUAGUAUAUGGUUUUAUACAGACUUUUGGAAAAGUCUGUAUUUACAAGAAAGUGAGUGGGACUCUGUAGCAUUUCUGAUAUUAUAUGUGGAUGACAUAUUGUUGAUUAGAAAUGAUACUGAAUUUCUGGAUAGCAUAAAAGGAUACUUGAAUAAGAAUUUUUCAAUGAAAUACCUCGGUGAAGCAGCUUACAUAUUGAGCAUCAAGAUCUAUAGAGAUAGAUCAAGACGCUUGAUAAAUUUUUUCAAUGAGUACAUACCUUGACAAGUUUUUGAAGUAGUUCAAAAUGAAUCAGUCAAAGAAAGAGUUCUUUCUUGUGUUGCAAGGUGUGAAGUUGAGUAAAGACUCAAAACCAGACCACAGCAAAAAAUAGAAAGAGAAUGAAAAAUCAUUCCCUAUGCCUCAGUCAUAGGUUCUAUAAAGUAUGCUAUGUUGUGUACUAGACCUAUUGUAUACCAUAGCAUGAUUUUGGCAAGGGAGCACAAUAGUGAUCUAGGAGUAGAUCACUGGACAACGGUCAAAAUUAUCCAUAGAGUUAAGAAAAUAUUUCUCGGUUAUGGAGGUGAUAAAAGAGUUUGUCGUAAAGAGUUACGUCGAUGCAAGCUUUUGACACCGAUCUAGAUACAUAUUAAAAGUGGGAGCAAUUAGCAAGAGUAGCUCUAUGCAGAGUAUUGUAGACAUAGAAAUUUGCAAAAUACAUAUGGAUCUGAAUGUUGCAGACCCAUAGACUAAACUUCUCUCAUAAGCAAAACAUGAUCACUCUUUGGAUGUUAAUCACAUAAAUAUGUGAACUAGAUUAUUGGCUCUAGUAAACCCUUUGGGUAUUAGUCACAUGAAGAUGUGAACUAAUCACAUAAAGAUGUGAACUACUGGUGUGAAAUCACAUGACGAUGUGAACUAGAUUACUGACUCUAGUGCAAGUGGGAGACUGAAGGAAAUAUGCCCUAGAGGCAAUGAUAAAGUUGUUAUUUAUAUUUUCUUAUAUCAUGAUAAAUGUUUAUUAUGCAUGCUAGAAUUGUAUUAACCGAAAACUUAGUACGUGUGUGAAUACAUGAACAAACAGAGUGUCCCUAGUAUGCCUCUACUCGACUAGCUCGUUAAUCAAAGAUGGUUAAGUUUCCUAACCAUAGACAUGUGUUGUCAUUUGAUGAACGAGAUUACUGAUGGACAAGACUCAUCCGUUAGCUUAGCACUACGAUCAUUUAUUUUAUUAUUAUUGCUUUCUUCAUGACUUAUACAUGUUCCUAUGACUAUGAGAUUAUGCAACUCCCGAACAUCGCAGGAACACUUAGUGUCCUAUCAAAUAUCACAACAUAACUGGGUGAUUAUGAAGAUGCUCUACAGGUGUUUCCGAUGGUGUUUGUUGAGUUGGCAUAGAUCGAGAUUAGGAUUUGUCACUCCGAUUGUCGAAGAGGUAUCUCUGGACCCUCUCGGUAAUGCACAGCACUAUAAGCCUUGCAAGCAAUGUGACUAAUGAGUUAGUUACGGAAUGAUACAUUGCGGAACGAGUAAAGAGACUUGCCCGUAACGAGAUUGAACUAGGUAUGAUGAUACCGACGAUCGAAUCUCGGGCAACUAACAUACCGAUGGCAAAGAAAACAAUGUAAGUUGUAAUGCGUUUUGACUGAUAAAGAUCUUCGUAACCAAUAUGAGCAUCCAGGUUCCGCUAUUCAUUAUUGACCGGAGAUAUGUCUCGGUCAUGUCUACAUAGUUCUCGAACCCGUAGGGUCCACACGCUUAACGUUCGACGACGAUUUGUAUUAUGAGUUAUGUGAUUUGAUGACCGAAGUUUGUUCCGAGUUCCGGAUGAGAUUACGGACAUGACAAGAAGUCUUGAAAUGGUCGAGACGUAAAGAUUGAUAUAUUGAAAGGCUAUAUUCGGACAUCGGAAAGGUUCUGAGUGGUUCGGGUAUUUUUUUCGAGUACGAGAGAGUUACAGGAAUUCAUCGGGGAAGUAUUGAGCCUUCAUGGUCAGUCCAAUUCAGAUGUCAAUUCAGGUGCCUAAUCAAAUAGAACCCUUAGUGGAAAGGAGAGAAGGGCCACAAGGAAAGGCCGCGCGCCCCCCCAUGGGCUGGUCCGAAUUUGGCUAGGGAGGGGCGGCGCCCCCCUCUUUCCUUCUCCCUCUCUUCUCCUUCCUUCUUCUCCUACUUGGACUAGGAAAGGGGGAAACCUACUCCUACUAGGAGUUGGAAUCCCCCCCUUGGGCGCGCCUCUUGUGGCUGGUCCUCCUCCUCCUCCCUUCCUUUAUAUACGGGGGAGGGGGCACCUCACAUACACACAAGUUAAUCUUAACCGUGUGCGGUGCCCCCUUCAUAGAUUUUCACUUUAAUCAUAUUGUCGUAGUGCUUACGCGAAGCCCUGCGUCGGUAAUUUCAUCAUCAUCGUCAACACGCCGUCGUGCUGACGAAACUCUCCCUCGGCCUCAGCUAGAUCUAGAGUUCGACGUCAUCGAGCUGAACGUGUACAGAUCGCGGAGGUGCCGUGCAUUCGGUACUUGAUCGGUUGAAUCGCAAAGACGUUCGACUACAUCAACCGUGUUACUUAACGCUUCUGCUUUCGGUUUACGAAGAUACGUAGACACACUCUUUCCGCUUGUUACUAUGCAUCUUCUAGAUAGAUCUUGCAUGAUCGUAAGAAUUUUUUUUAAAUACUGUAUUCCCCAAUAGACUUUUGGUUGGCUAAAUAAAUGUUGGAACUUCCACAAAGCCCUCAAGCCCCCUCCUCUUGUCUCACGUACGUUUGAGGGAUAACAUUUGGAGGACUACUGGGAAGCGACGAGGGACGAUUUGUGGGUACGUGUUAUGCUUUGUGUAUCAACUUACAAGGCUCACAGUCAAAGAAAAAAAAAACA